UGACUUUUUAUGCGAUCGGAAAAUGAAUGAGAUCAGAAAGGCCAUCAUUGGGGCAAAUAAUGCAAUAGCUUCGGUGAGAGCAAAUCCCAAAAUGGCAUAACCAAAUGAUUGUUUAGCCAAUGAUGGAUUUCGCACCACGGAAUGAAUCAAAUAACUGAGGACAUUUCCAAUACCGACAGUAGCUCCGGCUAAAGCAAUUGUAGCAGCUCCGGCACCUAUUGAUUUAGCACCUUCUAACAUCUCGAGUCGAGAAAACACUUUUCUUGUCACGUUUUUCCUUAGCUGUUCUUUCUUGGAUUUCUUGUUGAUGAUUCGAAGUACUUGGGCCUGCACCUCCAUAAUUUUCAAUUAUUGGGUUAUGCGGACCACUAAUUUGAUACAUAUUAUCACAAUUUGCAAGGCUUGUUAUAUAUUCAAGAAAAUGAGCUGUGGAUUGAAAAUCAUCAGGUAUAGGUAAUCAUCAGCCCCGCUGGAGCCAUGCUACUUCUUCUUGUUCAAACAGGUUCUCGAGCAGCAGUCAAAUUGACUUCCCCUGCUUGAGCGUAAUGCCCGCCCCUAGUGUGGUGGAAAAAGCCUCGUUUUCUAUUCCUUUUAAAGCUGCUGAUGCGAGCUACCAAACAAACAAGAUUAGUACAAAAAGCCACAACUAGCACUAGCUUUCGUGAUUGCUUCUUUCUCCAAAAUAUCACUACAGACAAGAUGAGCUAAUAGAAAAAGUUAGGGCAACCGUUUAAGGUCUUUAAUUCGGCAUUAACUUCGUUAGAGAAAGCCAUGCGUGAACUGCAAAGCAUGGGAUCCUGAACACCACGAAAGAAAGCGUACUCGAUGCACAUAUUUAGGGCUAUUUCUCUCAUCUGUUUAAUACGCAACUCUCUUUGAUAAGAAGGGUUCUCUUGUGUUCCAGGGUUGAUUAAGCGUCUGGUGGAACAGGGAUACAUUGUGUGAGGCCAAAUUGCCUAACGAAUUGAUGAAUAUGGCUCAAUAUAGACUGGUCCAGGUAUACCGGUCAGUCUUGAGCCACCAGGAUAGCCUUCCACAUAUCCUGUUCCUCCCUUGAGUGGUAACUCUUUUCUAACCUUAGAAUCCUGAACCAAUUUGCUCGAAAGACUCUGCCAUUGGAAGGAGUCCAUAGGUUGAUAAAAUAGGUUUUCGUGAAAACCACACAUAGAUAAAAAAGGUAAGAGUUACACGUGCCAAAAGCGAGGAAUACCACUCAGAAGCCCGAUUGAACCUGUCCUCAUUCACUGCUAUCUCCAUAUAUUGGAUGCCAAGCUUGAAAGGGUAAUGGUCCGAGAGGAUGGGGCUGUAGUCUUCUAUGAUGCACGCUACAAAGAUGAUAUGGUCUUCGGCUUACCGAGAGGGGAUAAGUCCACGCGAGUCACCCAGGGUCUCAAAAAGGUCUUAGAUAGAGUCCUUAGGGAGCUCCUACAAGGCUUCACUUCUACUGAAAUUUCCAGAAAACUACCAGGGAGACUACAAAUUAUCGGCUUGCCGCUGUCUCUGAAAAGUGAAGGUCAGCUCCACGUGGGUAUUCCAUCCGGACGAUGGGAGAAGAGGAUGACACUUGUUCGUAUUGAAAACCGGAGACGAAGGGAAAGAGGUUUGAUUGGAACAUGUUCUACAAGAACUCCUGUGUAGAACAUGCCCGUAUCUAUUCUAUGGGCUGGCUUUAGGCCAACCCUACUGUGGAAGUAGAAAGCAUCAUAUUCCGGUUUUUCCAACACUUGACUAGGAACCGGGCGCAGAUAUCUAUCUAUUAUUGCCUGCAUCGACAGCAAAGUAAACUCUCGUUGAUGAUAGAAGAACAACUCUUAGGGCAGUUGGAAGGAAACUAUGAGCUAUUUAUUGUUCCUUUCUUAGAAAAAAAGGAUAAAGGAUGGCUUAUGGUCUAUUUUCUUACUUGACUAUCCUUCCUGACUUGGCCAAUAAAAGAUACCUAGCAUGACACAUCAGCUACGCCAUCUGAGCCUGUCCACUUGCUAGUCAGGAAAAAUAACCGCUCCGUUCCGUGGGCUUCUUUCGCAGCUCUCUUCACGCUCGCUUUACGAGUGCAACCAAGUUCAUUAAACUGUUCAUGCUAAUUCAUAGACUAUGCUGGUUUCUAUCUAAGAGUCCUGUGAGACGCUUCCUUCUCAUACACAUCUGAAGCAACGUUUGAUCAUCCGCAUUAGAGAGUUUUGCAGGUCCUUGAGAGAAUGUUAUCCAGUCAGUUAUGACUUGACCAUGGUCUGAGGUGAAAUUGGUCCUGGUCCAUAAAACGAAAGGUGUUGGGCAAGCGCAGAGAAGUCGUCUGAAGGGGAGUUCCAUAGGAAUGUUCAACUUCGGUCAACCUUGCUUUGGUCCCAUGCCUAAAAAAGACAGAAGGUCAAAAACAAAAUAGGGGUGAUAUAACCCACUGCUCGCUUAAGAAUGUACUGACGUAAUCCCUACUAUGGCUUCCCGAAGGAUCCAACUGCUAAGAGGGUCCGAGCCAUAACGGAUUGAGGCUUCUGUCAGAUUCACGCGAGCCAAAGCAUUUGGCAAAAAAAGCCCACACUCAACUAAACAUUGACGAUUCUUUUCCAGAAAUCUCAAGAGCCUUUUGUUUAUUUCAAACGCUUGAGACUGAAGCCCAUUCAAAAUAUCACACAUCUGCUUGUAUUCUUUUUUAUGUAACUUUAUAUAGAAGUGGUUUAAGUCAUGGGAAGUUAAUAGCCGAAAGUGAUUCUAGAUAUCCCCCGUGGGUUUGUAUAAGUAACCUCCUAUCAGAUCCGAUAAUGUAUCAGGAUCAGACCCCCUCUCUGCUGGUUGCCAAUCCAAGGGUUUGCAAAGCAUCGGAAGAUUGAGUUUGAUAGGGAGAAGAUUUAUGUUCAAAUUGCACAUAACAUAACAAGAAUUCUCUAUAUACCCUUGACCUUUCUUACGAACCAGCACUGGAUCUUCUUUUGUUACUCCCCUAUCUGUUGAUAUAUGUAGAACAUUUCUUUCCCCGGCUAUUCAGCCAUUACUUGCAUAUCAGGUUCUUUGUACCCUUUUUAGUGCCAUGCACACUGAGGUUUCUGGCAUGAUCGAAUCUUUUGAGCAUAUCGCUUAUUACGUUAAUUUCUUCAUCUUGAUGUACUCAAUCCAUUCAAAUUCCAUAAUUCCCAGAAAGUUCAUCAAAGGAUUGUUUAUGCCAUCUCCAUAGGGGUCCGUCCGGUUCUUCCUCAAAUGGGUUGCCUCAAUCUUUAUCAAAGUUUUGGUAUCUAGCUUAUCCAGCUAUAGUAUAGGGAAAAGAGUCGACUCGAUCGACCAGGAGAAGCAAAACAAAAUCCAGAUUUGGCCGAAAAAGAUGCAACGUUAUGGAUACCAUGACCGAUCACCAUCGAGAAAGAAGAAUUUUGAUAAAUCACUUGGGGUGAGCGGGGCCUUCAAGCGGCCUCAAUACGCCGGGGUUGUAAAUGACAUACCUUUCCUUAUGGGAAAUGCCGCUUCCUUACUACAAAGGAAUAGAAUCAAGUUCUUUUUACCAAAGAAGUCCCGCUCUGACGGCCCGACGAGUCAUCUACUAAAAAGGACCCUCCCCGCUGUGCGCCCCUCCUUGAAUUAUUCGGUCAUGCAAUACUUUUUUAAUACUAAGAAUAAAAUGCAUUUCGACCCCGUCCUAGUUCUCAAUCAUUUCGUGGCACCGGGUGUGGCUGAACCAUCUACGAUGGGGGAGCGAAGGGAGGAAGCUUAGAUAAGAGAAUACGCUCUCACAUCGCUUUUUUAGAAAGCUCUACCAGCGAGAAAAAGUGAUUGGCCCGAGCCAAAAAGAGGUUGAUCGACUUCAUUCGCCAAGCGAAUGAUCUUCGCUUCGCGGGAACAACAAAAACCACCAUAUCGCUCUUUCCUUUCUUCGGUGCUACCUUCUUUUUUCCAAGGGAUGGGGUUGGGGUGUAUAAUAACCCUUUUUUGAGCAUGCCCGGAAACAACUCCUAGCUCAAUUUAGGAUCAAAUGGGAGAUGCUUCUCUAGAGUGUCCCAUAUAUGUUUUCUAUCUUCCAUACGGAAACUGUCAGUUCUCAGAAGAUCUUCUUCAGUCUUACUCAAAAGGGCCAAUAUACAGUCAUAGCAGUAAAUAUAAUCUAGUACUAAAGAAUAUAUAACCUAUCUACAUUCAAUAUAUAGUCUCCUAGACCAAGACUAUAAUAACUCCAUAGUAUAAUACUAGAUAGGUUUUUGCCAGCACAGUAUCCACUUAUACGUUUAACUCCUCUAGAUCAAAAAUGAGUGGUUUGAUAAUAUGAAUGGAGGGAUUCAAGCUUAUUUUUGUUAACCGAGAUGCAAACGACUAACAAACUGGAUUCGAAGCCACCUGUCGUAAUAGUACCUGCGGGUUCUUUCUGUGGAGCCUUCAAAUGCAAUAGCUAGCUGCCCAACGGCCAAUGCCACAGGCAAAUCUCCAUUUUCCAACUUAUACAACUCUUUGGGGUCCAAAGAUACUCGCCAUUGCAACUUAAUAAAUAGGACCGGUGGGAUCGCCUUCAAUAGAUAUACCGGUUUCACUGCUUUCGUACCCUUUGUUUUGGUCAUGUGGAUGACCCGCAGACCGUAGAUAAGAUGGAUACCCAUGUACUGCCUUCAAUGAAGAGAGUUUUACCAAGGACCCUUAGACAGAUAGGGGGGACAGACAAGAGGUAUGCAACCUGCAGAAUAUUGUCACCGAAUCGCUCACUGACAAAUACUUAGGGCUCCCCUCCCUGGUAGGAGUGGAUAGGAGCGACUGCUUCCAACACUGAAUUGAGAGAGUUUGCACUCGGAUUAAUGGUUGCAAAGAGGAAGGGCUAAUUGGCUCCGCCAUGGAGACCGAAAUACGAGCUUCUUUCAUCACAUCAUUUUGCAACGGAGAAAAAAGAAGAACAUAAUAAAGUUUCUGAAUGACUCAAACGGCAACAGGAUCGAAGGUAAUGACCAGUUAGCAUCUCUGAUACAGGGUUUCUUUGAGGGACUGUUCACCUCAGCAGUCCUAGCUCCCGACCCUGGGCUACUGGGGAAAGUAAACAGGCGAGUAACUGAAGAAAUGAACGCAAGCCUCUUGGCUCCGUUCACGGCAGAUGAAGUAAAGGCAGCACUCUGAAUUCAAUCGAGAGUUAGGUAUAGUAAUCUUCAGAUAUGACAAUACCUCCCCCAAAGCAUUGUCAAGUGUUGGAAUUAGGGCACCAACCACGAAUAGGAGUUGUAUAGAACUCCGGAAAGAGACCUUUGAUGAAGUCGGCAUCCUCCCAAGUGGCAUUUGCUUGAUCCAAACUAGCCCACUUCCUUGGUUGCUGAAAAACCAUGCAACGCAAGUAAUUUUCCACACACUGAUUCACACGUUCUGUCUGGCCAUCUGAUUGUGGGUGAUAGGCAGAGCUAAACCUCAAUUUCACUUGCAGUGCUUUGAAGAAGACCUGCCACAUGUUACUUGUGAAUAUCUAGUUUCUAUCAGAGAGUAUUGACUUUGGCAAUCCAUUCCACUUAAAAACAUUAUCCAUGAAAGCAUGAGAGACUGAUUGUACUAUAUAAGGGUGAGAAAGGGGAAUGAAAUGAGAAUAUUUAGUGAACCUGUCCACCACCAACAAUAUGACUUCUUUGCCCAAUGAUUUGGGAAGACCCUCAAAGAAAUCCAGGGAGAUGUCAGUCCAAGCAGAAGUAGGUAAUGGCAAUGGAUCUAGGAGACCAGGGUAGUGGCAAUGCUCUCCCUUGACUCUUUGGCAAACUGCACACUCAUGUAGAAAAGUUUCAAUCUCCUGGCCUGGCGCCAAUCAAAUAGCUUUUUUACCAUUUGAUAAGUAGCCACAAUGCCUGAAUGGCCUCCUAUGGGAGAGUUGUGAAGUGAAUCAAUGAUUUGGUGUUUAAGAACAGCAUCUGAUCCCACAUAUAUUCUUCCUUUAUAUCUCAAAAUGCCAGAAUGAAGAGUAUAAGGGGGUGUUGCAUUGGCUGAUACAGUGAGCUUCUCAAGCAGAGAUUUGCAAUGAUCAUCAUUAGUGUAGCUGGUUUCUAUAGUUGAAGCCCAAGCAGGAGUAACUGCAGUGACUGCCAUCACAAGACCUGGAGAUAUCAGAAGUGAGAAUGCUGACAUGAGUAACGAGAAAUCCUGUGAAAAACACAAUCGCCUGCCAGUGGAAGGCUUUCUGCAUUCAGUUAAUCUACGCAGAGUGAAUCGGUCCCUAAGGAACCCCCGAAAGGGCUGCCGUCCGAUGGGUACACGAAAGUGACAAAGUUGCUUUGACUACUGAACCAUGCCUAGAUCGUCGGAGCGAAUUGGAUGAUCGGGCCGAGGGCUGCCCCCUCUUCCCCUCGCUCUCCUUUCCUUAAUAUUCACCGUCGAGUCAUCAAAGCCGUAAACUAAUUCAGAGGGGCUCGGCUGGCCCGGUCGCCCUACGCUACUGGCGCUUCCAAAGGCGAAGCUCUCGUCUUUGGCGACCAGCAAACGGAGGGCUAAAACCUAUAGUUUUGAAGCAAGGGAUGAGCGCGAAAGCCGUUGCGCUUCCGUACACAUGCAUACAUUUUCUUGCUGGGGCGGACACGGUUUCUCUCUAAAGGCGAAGAAAAAGAAGUGGGCGAACACUCGGCCCAGCGGGCGAACAUGCCGGCUCCAGCUCCGCGCACCUGCUCACACCUUUCGAAGCACUUUCACGUGUGAACCGAAGUCGUCUUGCCGAACUCCUUCCUUUCUCAUUUCAGUCCUCGCCUUUUUCAUCUUCCGUAGGGGCCUUUAGUCUUUUGAUUAGAGUGGAGGUCGCGAGAGAGCAGAGCGUACCGCCCUGCCAUAGUCGCGAGGAUCUUAAUACUCGGUCACGACUGUUGUCAUAGUCAAUGACGGUUGAAACUUCCAGGAAAAAACUUCGAAUUGGGAGGGCGAUCCUCCCGGUGAACUGACCGUACCCCAAACCGGCACAGGUGAACAAGUAGAGUAUACUAGGGCGCGUCGAGAGAACCAUGUCGAAGGAACUCGGCAAAAUGACCCCGUAACUUCGGGAGAAGGGGUGCUCUCCUAUCUUUUGAUUAGGAAAGUGGCACAUACCAGGGGGUAGCGGCUGUUUAUUAAAAACACAGGACUCUGCUAAGUGGUAACACGAUGUAUAGAGUCUGACACCUGCCCAGUGCUGGAAGGUCAGAAGGAGAAGUGUGAUAAGCUUUGAAUGGAAGCCCCAGUAAAUGGCGGCAGUAACUCUAACUGUCCUAAGGUAGCGAAAUUCCUUGUCGCAUAAGUAGUGACCUGCACGAAUGGUGUAACGACUGCCCCGCUGUCUCCGACAUGGACCCGGUGAAAUUUAAUUCUCCGUGAAGAUGCGGAGUACCAACGGCUAGACGGUAAGACCCCAUGCACCUUCAUUAUAGCUUCGUAGUGACAACCUUGAUUGAAUGUGUAGGAUAGGUGGGAGGUGGUGACACACAAUGACCAAUCCUGAAAGACCACUCUUUCUUCUAAGGAUGCCUAACCGCCGCACCGAUCAUUCGAGGGGGGGGGGUGGCGGGACACUGCGAGGUGGGUAGUUUAUCUGGGGCGGAUGCCUCCUAGAGUAACGGAGGUGUGCGAAUGUAGGCUCAAGCGUUGAUUCUUCUCGUGAGCGUAAUGGUAUAAGCCUGCAUGACUGUGAGACCGACUGGUUGAACAGAGACGAAAGUCGGCCAUAGUGAUCCGGGAGUCCCAUGUGGAAGGGCUCUUGCUCAACGGAUCAAAGGUACGCCGGGGAUAACAGGCUGAUGACUCCCAAGAGCUCUUAUCGACGGAGUCGUUUGGCACCUCGAUGUCGACUCAUCACAUCCUGGGGUUGAAGAAGGUCCCAAGGGUUCGGUUGUUCACCGAUGAAAGUGGCACGUGAGUUGGGUUUAGAACGUCAUGAGACAGUUCGGUUCCUAUCUACCGUUGGUGUUAAAGGGAGAACUGCGAGGAGCCAGCCCUAGUACGAGAGGACUGGGCUGGGUCAACCUAUGUUGUACCGGUUGUUAUGCCAAUAGCAGCGCCGGGCAGCUAAGUUGGUAUGGAAGAACUACUGCACCGCGGGAAAUCCUUCUCUAUACAAGUUCUCAUACGAGGUUUUUGAACGGAACUUCGAUAGGCGAGAGGUGUAAGCACCGCGAGGUGUGAAGCGAUCUCGUACUAAACGAAUGGAAAUUGACAAUAAUAAAAAAACAUAACUUAGAAAGAGAGGUAAGGUCUGCCGGUUUGCAACUCUGAAGCUGAAAAGGAAAAGUAACGUUAGCCGGUUUCCAGUUCCAGUUCGUUACCUGACUGCUCCGCCUUAACGCGAAAAGAUAGGAAAAGUGCCUAUCUUUUUUAUCGGUUCUAGUUCCUUGCACUUUCAAUAGCGUCCUACUUAGUUUUUUAUGGAACGCAUUUUCAGGCGGAUUCGUUUAGUAAAAGAGGCCUUGUGGUACCUAAUAUUUCCCUUGUUAAAACAAGGCUUCGAUAGGUAGGGUCUCGAAGGGGCCUCCCUCGUUCUUGCUCGUAAAACAAGUCUCUCCUUUGGUUUUGCUUUUUUUUGGCUUCCUUAAUUUGAUGAAAUCAAGCCGUUCGACCACAGAUAGGAUCAGUCGCUCGGGAAAACCCACUGUUUCCUGCCCUUUUCUAAACAGGGAAAUCUGCUUGGAAAAGCUCCUUGUUGCUAGUUCAGUAAAUAAAGAAAGAGUGUCGGACGCUUGGGAGGACUUCCAUUUAAUAGCAAAGCAGUUCUAUUCCUUGCCCGGAAUGCUAAUGUUCGGUUCUAAAUGCAUUAGGCAGAGCCCUUGUUUGCUAUUAAAAAAGGUGUCCAACAAGGACUUGGAGCCUGAUUGUGAAGGAACAUACGCCAGGUCUCGCAAAUCGGCCAAAUAGGCCUCCUUUUUGGAGUGAACAAGCCUUUUCCCUUUGAUCCCUCAUGUGAUCAAAUCAAGUCCGUCUACUUGAAAGUGAAGUACUUCAGUGAGUAGUAGUUCAUAAUGUUGGUCUUAUUCAAGGUAGUUUUUAAAAACCUAGCAAUACCAUUAAGAACAACGUUGACGAGGAGUGACUGAACACUUGAGGGAACGAACGAGGAAGACCGAUCCCAAAUAAAUAGAGUUUCUGACAUUAGGAGGAAUUCCCUUUAAUAGGGAAAGCUUAGAUCGGUACCUCUGGCAUCGGUACCUUGCCUAAGCGCCCUGGGCGACCGGACUCGACAAGGGUAAGAUCCCACUCAGCAGGCUACACCGAUUAGAGAGAGUACGUCGUCUAUUCAUUCCACUCAUUCCUUAACAUCCAAAGCUAAGAAUUCAAAAAGUUAAUAGGUGGGUAGGUGUUCUUAGGUUCGUAACAUGCCUUUCUCGGAAGCCUUGUUGAAUUAAUGGCAAGGGAGGUAUUAGCUUAAUGGCUUGGCUAUGCUUGAGUCAGCUGAAAUCAUUUAUGACGAAUAAAAUCAAUCAGAGGUAGUUACCUCUCUUGUAGCCGGGUAUGAGAGGUCUAGUUCGGUGAGAAUAGAUAGGGAUAGAAAGACCAUCCUGGUGCACAUGCUAUGGGUCUUAUUGUUUGUUGGGAAAUCAAGGAAGACUAGCUUUGGCGUGGGAAGCUUACCAAUUUAUGCGGUGGCUACUCGAUCGAGAAGAAAGAGCAGUUGUUACCCGCCUCCACUAUUAAGCAGCAUGAGCCACUAGACUAACUCGAUAUCCGUGUGUGGAUCCGCCCGAAAAGAUGAAGACAAGGAAGAGCCAUUCUUCAUACAUAGGAGCGAGUGGUCGAAAUGGAAAGCGGACAAACGGAAUUAUGUACAACUAUAAGGUUCAGUUCUUUCUUCUGUCCCAGGUCCUUUCUUCUCUUGCGGAUCUUUCUUACUUUUAUUCCUCAUCUAGCUUACAAAAACUACAUAUUUUUUUAGAUAUGGACCUGGGGUUCUCGCUUCUGCGCAAGCUAUUUCCGAACCUUCCUGCCUUCGGGGAGAUGGGUUAGGUCAUACGCGGGACCUACCCCGAGAAAGGAGGCUUGAGGCGCGCUAAAUACAAUUGCAUUUGAUAAAACAUAUGCAUUUGAUAAAACAUAUGCAUUUGAUAAAACAUUUGCAUUUGUUAAAACAUCUGCAUUUGAGAGAAGUGAAAGUAAUCCAUAUUUGCAUUUGCGGCGACAAAAUCCGGAAUCUGAGAAUAAGGGUUUGGAUUAGGGGGGGGGAGGGGAACAAAGAAGGUAUUUAGCGCAAAGAACUUCUUCCACUUUUGGGGAUUCCACUAAUUGAUAGAAGGAAGUGGAUGCAGCAGGAUUGGCCCCAAUUGAAUCACUAGUAGAAGAGAUCCACGUGCAGAGACUGUUAGGGAGAUGCAGAUGGAGGGACGUUUGGGUUGCUGCUAGAAGGGCUUACGAUGAAUAGAUUGUUGGAAUGGCUUUAAGUGAAAGGGAAUCCGGCAGCUUAUAUAGCGCUAGUGAGAGGCCUCCUAGUCUAUUUUGAUGGACGUCUCCUAAUCCUUCUUUUUCUAUGGGUUCAGGAAUGCCAUGCCAAUAAUAGAUAGAGCAGCUAAUGGUCCAGCCAGAGGCAGCAGGUCUCAUUCCAGACUCCACUCAGAAUACCCGGCUCUUUUUCUAGACUCCACUAGGAAGAUCUUGCUCUUUCACAGAUACGGGGAUCAGACAUGGCUAUCGCUUCGACAGCUUCUCCGGAUGAAAAGACGCCGCCGCUGCCCAAUGGAUGGAGUUGGAGGGACACAGAAUCCUUCCUAAGAUGUGCCUAGAGAGAACAAUCCUUUCAGAAUCUCGUAUGUCUAAGUGAUCAACUACUUGUGCCUCUGAAAAGCUAGAAAUCAGUAAAAGGAAUGAUCUACAGAUAGAGGGUUCAAACCAUAUAGCAGCACUCAUCCCUCCCUGACCCGAGUCCCCUAGCCUCUCAGCUUUCCCUUGUUAAAACAAGGCUUCGAUAGGUAGGGUCUCGAAGGGGCCUCCCUCGUUCUUGCUCGUAAAACAAGUCUCUCCUUUGGUUUUGCUUUUUUUUUGGCUUCCUUAAUUUGAUGAAAUCAAGCUGUUCGACCACAGAUAGGAUCGGUCGCUCGGGAAAACCCACUGUUUCUUGCCCUUUUCUGAACAGGGAAAUCUGCUUGGAAAAGCUCCUUGUUGCUAGUUCGGUAAAUAAAGAAAGAGUGUUCGACCCUAGGAUCGGACUUUCAUUUAAUAGCAAUGCAGUUCUAUUCCUUGCCCGGAAUGCUAAUGUUCGGUUCUGAAUGCAUUAGGCAGAGCCCUUGUUUGCUAUUAAAAAAGGUGUCCAACAAGGACUUGGAGCCUGAUUGUGAAGGAUCAUACUUCAGGUCUCGCAAAUCGGCCAAAUAGGCCUCCUUUUUGGAGUGAACAAGCCUUUUCCCUUUGAUCCCUCACGUGAUCAAAUCAAGUUCGUCUACUUGAAAUCGAAGUACUUCAGCGAGUAGUAGUUCAUAAUGUUGGUCUUAUUCAAGGUAGUUUUUAAAAACCUAGCAAUACCAUUAAGAACAAGGUCGACGAGGAGUGACCGAACACUUGAGGGAACGAACGAGGAAGACCGAUCCCAAAUAAAUAGAGUUUCCGACAUUAGGAGGAAUUCCCUUCAAUAGGGAAAGCUUAGAACGGUACCUCUGGCAUCGGUACCUUGCCUAAGCGCCCUGGGCGACCGGACUCGACAAGGGUAAGAUCCCAAAUCUGUUCCUUUCCUGUUGUAAAGUCUGCACCCUUAGAGGUGGCAUCCCUUUACGCAUGAGCCUUGUUAGUGCAUGUCUCAGUCCCUUGAGACAUGCUCAGUCGUAUGUUAGGAAACCAAAUAGUGUAAUUAGCUUCCCCCUCUAUUCCCGGCCAUCAUAUGGACGAGGGCUCCUCUCCCUCUGCUCUGCUGCCCGGAAAGGUAUAUAUAUACUUAAAUUAGGAAUUGAAAAUGCUUGGGCUUGCCUUAUUCUCUCAUUUAAGUCCUUCAAUUCCCUUAUUCGGAAUGGAGAGGGAUGUUGUUGAAGGGAAGGAACGGAGGAAGAUCGUUCUGAGGAACUAGAUUAUCAAAGGACGUCCUUACUUGCUCUUCUUUUGACUGAUAAUUUCCAAACAGUAAGUAGUUGCCAAAGGGUCCAACUACUUACACCGUUUUGAUUAUUUUUUUCCGUUGCAUAAAAGAGAUCCCUUACCCUUUCUUUAGAAAAUGAUGAAUAUGAAGUCCGAGAGGCUGCGGGUACCAUGGAUCCUCUGACUCCCAAUCGGGUUACCUUCCUGGGUCUCGCCGGUGUUGCCUGUAGGUCAUGAUGUGCCUAGAGAUGGCUGUCUCCUGUCCCCCUGCUCGUGGGGAAUCCGCUCCUGGGGCGUCGCUCUGCUGCGUAUGGCCCGUACUCUAGGCACCUUUGGAGGGCGGGGAGUGUGACAACGUACACGCUUCCCUUUACUCCAUAGGGCCUUUUCCUCAGUUGCAGGGUUUGGUGGCCCGAAAUUGACUUGGCUUCGCCAAAAGGCCUCAUCUCCAAAGACCGGCUCGCGAGGCGUCCCUCUCGCUGUAGGGCGGAGCCCCCUCGCCUCGCUCUUGUGACAUGCUAUGUUUCCCUUCUUCCAUUCUCAAGUCAAGGGUGAGUCCCAUGCGUCAGUUUGUGGAUCGCGGUCUCACGCACUAAUCCCUACAGGUGCCCAUAGUAGGUCGGCCGCCCUACCUAAACCAAUCAUCAUAUUGGUCCCUAGGCCCCAUUGCUGGAAAGGCUCGGCUUCAAAACCGUACGUGGAGUUUCCGCCUCAUAUGGCUCCUCUAGGGAUGGGGGUAGGACCAGCCCAGGCUUGUGCGGUUAAGGUUGUUGUACACGACCUCAGUUGAGCAUUCAGUUAGAGGCGGCGAUCGCAGGUUCGCCGGAGGAGAGGGUGUUGUGAGCAAGAUUGCACAAACAAAGCCCUCCUGCCCGCAACCCUAUUCUAGAAAUUAGGCUGCCUACGUUACUUAUAACCACAGAACGAGCAAUGAAUCCCCAACGACAAACGAACAAGGGGCGGGGCAUUUUCGGGGAGUAGCCCCCUUCAGAAGAAACUUCCUGGCACAUACAUUAAGGGAGCCAUCGAAAGGUGACUGAAACACCUGAAACGGGGACUGCCCGAGCUAAUGAUAGAGGCAAGAACACUUUCCGGCCAAGUCCUAUUAAUUGAUCAUAACGAUAUCAUGGAAAUGCUGCACGGACCCAUAUAUAUAGAAAUAGAAAAAGAAGAACCUUGAUACUAAACCAGAUCGAACAAGGGAUCUUUUUGGAAAUGGGAAGAUCUAGGAUAGGCAGCCAACCUCUUGGAAAGAGCAAUGUGCAUAGACCGGGUGAGUAGGGAUGCAGCUCCGUGGACCGCUCGUCGGGCCUGAUAGGUGGUGGUAUCACACCCUUCUCAAAGGAACCGUACGUGAGACUCUCGCCUCAUACGGCUCCGUCCUGGAAUCUGGACCCCCCCUUUCCUUUGACCAACGGGUCCUUGAACCCAUGGGGGUUACGAAUCAUUCAUUCAUUGAUUGAUUCAAGGUAGCUUUAGCCAUUGUGGGUAGAAGCUAGUCGCCAAAAGCGAAGCAGCGAUCUUCCAGGCCGGAAAGGUUCUAUUUUUCUGACGCGUAAGCUACCACAAAAUGAAUGAAGGAAAAAGGCCUCGGGAUUAGAAAGACUAAAGAGGCAUGGAGGGCCGACUACAAGACUACGACUACAAUACAAGCCAUGAGCGAUAGCGAAGCCUUCAGCCUUUUUUUCGAAAGCCCCACAACUAGCUAUCUUAUAGCAGAUAAGGCAAGCCUACUCAACUAAUCUCAUGUAAACGCUUGUUCGCUAAAAUCCAAAUAGAAAAAGACAACUACUUAUUAAGCAUGUAGUUGAGUGCUCCGUUGUUGUUCGGAUCUUGACCGAGUCCGAGCCUCCCAAGCUCUAUGCUGUUUGGGAACUCAGCAAGGGUCUUACCACCUUCUUGAUUGACUAUAUUUGAGUCUUUGGGGUACUUUAGGAUUAUAUUCCGCGCCGAAGAUUUGUGCUUGUGGGCUAGGGUGAAUAUAGCGGACCAGCAGAUCUGGUAGUUGACAAUCAUUCGGACUUGGUAAAGGUUGUCGCAGCACCUGUAGUAGGACAGAGGACUUAUCGCGAUGCCCGCGGACCAAUUUACUAUGUAUCUGUCGCUGACGUUGGUCAAGGAGGCCACGUGGAUUGGCCUGGGUCUUCUUCGGCUAAUGAGACAUCGAUCCCGAAGCCUUUGGAGUAUCUUUUUGAUAGGCGCCUCUAUCUGUAUGGGGAAUUCAUUGCUGAAAGAUCCCGCCCAGUGUCCCCUUCCUUCCCCCGCUGCCUUCCGACCAAAGGGAGUAUACAAUUUCUUCCUCAGGACACUCAUGCCCGAUCGUGAGACUUCCUGUUGAACGCCUGAUGGCACCUUGCUCUGACCUGAGCUAUUACAUUUGCGUGAAUAUUGCUGUAAUCCUAGCUGGUUAAUUUGAUCUAAACAAAGCACAUUAUAGCUAUACUUGUUUUAUCGGUUCCAGUUCCUUGCACUUUCAAUAGGGUCCUACUUAGUUUUUUAUGGAACGCUUUUUCAGGCAGAUUCGUUUAGUAAAAGAGGCCUUGUGGGUUGGUGGAUGAAGAAUAGGAGAGAGCUUGCUUGAGUAGAAGAUAACCCGCGAGAAGGAUGUUUUGUAGCGCUUUCUCAUACAAAAGGAAAAGGCGUCACGACCGAAGAUAAGGAAAGAUCCCAGCUUUUCAUUGCUCUGUCGCGCCACCCCUCCUCCCAGAGCCGGUUCAUAUCCAUAGAUUUUUCAGCUAAAAGAUACAGUAUAUAUAUCAAUGAAAGAUGGCGCCUUUGGUUCUUGGUACGACUGGUACUUUUUCUCAUUUAUCGGUCUAGUUGGAAAAAUUUCCCCUCAAAGAGCAAGUUUUUCUUAUAUAUUAUGCUGUGCCCUUGCCCCUAACCUUCCUUUCUCUUCUAUAAAAAGGAUGGGCGUCAAAUGUAACUGAUGCUUAUAUUCUAAAUACGUUUACGCUCAAGCAGGGGAAGUCAAUUUGACUGCUGCUCGAGAACCUGUUUGAACAAGAAGAAGUAGCAUGGCUCCAGCGGCGCAGAGCCAAUUGGCUACGACAUGGUGACCGAAAUACAAUUUUUUUCCACCACUUUGCAAUUGCUAGAAAAAAGAGGAAUCUGAUUAAGUACUUGAUGAGCAAUACUGGAGAUCGAAUAGAAGGUAAUGACUUACUCAAUGCACAUAUUUAGGGCUAUUUCUCUCAUCUGUUUAAUACGCAAUUCUCUUCGAUAAGAAGGGUUCUCUUGUGUUCCAGGGUUGAUUAAGCGUCUGGUGGAACAGGGAUACAUUGUGUGAGGCCAACUUGCCUGACGAAUUGAUGAAUAUGGCUCAAUAUAGACUGGUCCAGGUAUACCGGUCUGUCUUGAGCCACUAGGAUAGCCUUCCACAUAUCUUGUUCCUCCCUUGAGUGGUAACUCUUUUCUAACCUUAGAAUCCUGAACCAAUUUGCUCCAAAGACUCUGUCAUUGAAAGGAGUCCAUAGGUUGAUAAAAUAGGUUUUCAUGAAAACCACACGUAGAUAGAAAAGGUAAGAGUUACACGUGCCAGAAGCGAGGAAUACCGCUCGGAAGCCCGAUUGAACCUGUCCUCAUUCACUGCUAUCUCCAUAUAUUGGAUGCCAAGCUUGAAAGGGUAAUGGUCCAAGAGGAUGGGGCCGUAGUCUUCUAUUACGCAUGCUAUGCAGACGGUAUGGUCUUCGGCUUACCGAGAGGGGAUAAGUCCACGCGAGUCACCCAGGGUCUCAAAAAGGUCUUAGCUAGAGUCCUUAGGGAGCUCCUACAGGGCUUCACUUCUACUGAAAUUUGCAGAAAACAACCAGGGAGGCUACAAAUUAUCGGCUUGCCCCUGUCUCUGAAAAGUGAAGGUCAGCUCCAUGUGGGUAUUCCAUCCAAACGAUGGGAGAAGAGGAUGACACUUGUUCGUAUUGAAAACCGGAGACGAAGGGAAAUAGGUUUGAUUGGAACAUGUUCUGCAAGAACUCCUGUGUAGAACACGCCCGUAUCUAUUCUAUGGGCUGGCUUCAGGCCAACCCUACUGCUGAAGUAGAUAGCAUCAUAUUCCGGUUUUUCCAACACUUGAUCAGGAACCGGGUGCAGAAAUUCCUUGAAGAGAAGGGGAUGCCUACAAUCAAUGCCUAAAUAAAGGCAUAUGUCGAAAAGUGCAACUACUAAUAAAUUCAGUAAAGGAAGGCCCGGAACGGGCUGAGCUACUACCCGAAAUAGAAGAGGACGACUAGAGUGGAGGGGCCUAAUUCCAAUCCAAACAAUUGACGAGGGAGUCUAAUUAUUUUUUCGUUCUUGAUUGUUUCAAUUGCACUUUCUUCAUUGGAGGGUUGCUUGGAAAGUGCGAUCGUUACAGCGCUUGGAGUAUACGGAUUGAAUUCUUCCUUCUUCUAUAGGUCUUUCUGGGCGGCGAGGCAGAAAAAAGGUGUAGAGAGGGAGAAGGUACAUAAAAAACGAUUUCUAAGGUAGAAAAGAGGCAUCCACCAGUCAUUGAGAACAGCUAAUCCCGGAAUUAGCAGGUCGGUAUGCGAAGAGAAUUCGGUAUUAAAUCCGCGAGGCCAGGUGAAGAAAAGUCCAAUAUGGGUGGAUUACCUUUUUCUGAAGGAUAAGUCUCUGGGACUGACUGAACUGAAUGUAUAGCGUCAAGAUAAGAAGCACGGUAGUCGAAGAUGUACCUUGUGGGGUGGGGUACGAGUAGACCAGACCAAUGAUGAAAAACAUAGAUACGAGCAUGGCCUCCCUGUCUCAAAAGCAGGCCGCCAAGGGUGCUCGAUUCACAUUUCUAUAUGAUAAUAUGCACGACUGAUUCUCGUAUCUGCUGAUACAAGAGAUUCUUUCCAAAGAUAACCCUAACCCCUGGGUGGGAGAAAGAUGGAGACAAUACUGCCGUUGAAGCGCAAGAGUGAGCAGCAGUCCGGUCAGCCCUUGCUUUCUCAACUUGAGCAGGAAACUUCCAACGAAAUAGGAGGGAGGGGCACUCUCAAAUAGGAAUGCAAACAUAAAAUGCAUGCUCUUGAGUGUCAAUUCCUCUUAUGACCGAAGUGAAUAACAAAGAUCCCUUCCAUCUGGACACUGAAUAAUGAGAGAAUCGUAGAAGUUAUCGGAAUCCGGGGCUAGAGUCUUUGGCUGAACAUCCACAGAUGAUUGAUUCCCUGCGCUAUCAAGUAUUGGAUUGUAGUGGGGGUUAGUUGGCUCAGCAUAUGGUAUAGAUCGAUAGAUAUAUUUGAUACAUCCUAUAACAUGGAGACGGAGAUAGCCAAGCCCCUUUCUCGAAAGGCAAACCCUCUUUAUCAUCCAACACAGGAUCUCCCUAUGGAAUACCACCAUUGUCUUUCUCCAUCUCACUCAAUAUUAUAUAUUGGUAUAAAUAGCUCAGCUCACGAAAUAGAGCGAGCAAGAGCUCGAACUUGGUAGGAAAGUUCGGAUAAGUCGACUCGACUCCUUAGUGCAGCGUACACUUGCUGAAGCAAAACGAGGCUCAUCCAUUUGUUUUGAUCCGAAUCACACUCUAGACCAGCUCUUCUUGUAGACAAGGAACUCCACUUUGACAGUCAUACGAGAGGGAAGAGACUCAAAGUUGAUGAGAAUAGUCGAUUCGACUGGUAUCACGAAUAGCAGUUUUAGUAGAAAAGGGCGUUGAUGAUUGAAAGGAUUUCUCCUCGAACCACUAGUAACUAUGUCAGCUUUUGUCAUUCUGAUGAUACUGAAUCGGAUCAAUAUUUGGAAUAACAAUAUCUGAUCUAUCAAAUCGACUCAUCAUCGAGACUUUCAAAGGUUACGUGGUUGCAGGUCCUCGCCCUUCAGGUUGAAGGAGAUGUGUACUCGACUUCCUUUAAGUAAGUGGUGGCCCAUAAUAGUAGAGAUGUAUAACAAUAGUAGCUUAACCAAAGGGAUAGACUUGAACUCUUCCACACCCCCUUGCCAGAGGUUUUAAGAGAACAACCUUUUGGGGAUACCAAUUCCACCCAUUCGCAGCAAUGGAACUAGCACUUUCUUAACAUUUCCACCGUUCUUGCUUAUUCCCCUUACUUACCCAAUGAAAGAUAUAGAUUGGAAAUUGGAAGAUGGUCAUCCAUAGUUAUCUUGUUGAAAAUACCCUCCCUUACUCAUCAAAAUGUUGGAAGUGACUUGUGGGAAGAGAGAAUAACUAUAGAUGCUCGAUAUGCAUAUUGAUCAAUCGAUCUCCGCGUCCUGCCAGUUCGCUAAGUAGACUCACUCUACCAAGGGGCAGAAGAAGAUCAAGCCGAUAAGGGGAAGCGCUGAGAAAAAUCUCUCUCUUAUCUAAAUAUAAGAGCACGCUUUAUCUCUAUGCACACAGAAAAAGGGGAUCUUGUGAUGAUAAAAAUGGUACGUAUGUGGAUCACUUUGGCUCCGCCCAAAAGCCCCUGAGCCGACUAUCUCUUGGCACAGCCAAAGCAUUUCCUCGCCUGAGGCCUGCUCAAAGCUAACUUGAAUCCGAACAGCUUGCUGCUUCUCCGAAACCUUCACCAGCUUGUGUAUCCUUGUAAGGUCGCGGACCCGGCGUAAGAACAAGAAACGUGAGUCUAGCAUGACAUAAACCCAAACCCGUCACUUUUGAUACUUCUCAUCUCAGGACAAGUCACAGAAGAGGUAAGGCGCUAUAGCCAGUGAAGGAAAGGGAAGAAAAACUAGUUCUAUGUCAAUUCUACAGCCAGAGAAAGAGGGAAUGAAUGAUCGGUCUUGUUCUGGAUCUCUUUCCUUGCGCCCUAGUCCAUUCCAUCUAUCUUGACUGCAACUUGGAUUCUUUCUUGACUCCUAUUUGGAUUGGUAGUCCGUCAAAUCUCUAAGCAGGUGGCUAGAAAACCUUCUAGAAUAGGAGGAAUAUAAGAUAGUUUCUCAUCAGGAAUGGAAUUCGGUUUCCAAUCUGGUCACACAUGACUCUUGCCCUAAAGCAAUUUCUUGAUUAGGAGCAGUGGGUGGCCCAUAGAAAGGAAUGCCUGCCUAUCCAUAGCCGGGCAAAUUGCUGCAUAUUCAAGUCACCCAAUUCUCUUCUCUUGCACUAUGUCUAUUGGAAUGGACCCUUGAUUCUCCAGCAGAUCCUCCUGGUAUGGAAGGAUAUCAUCCACAAAACAGAUUGCGGAAAAUGCCAUCGAAGUUCGCAAAGGAGCGGUCUUCCCAAUCUCUCUUUUAUUUGUGGGAAUCUCUAGUGAGACCUGUGAUAGAAGGGGUAAAGGUGAAUUUCAGUCCUCUUUCUCUCGGAAAUAUACGCCACAUGCCAUUGAUCGAUCUCUCUCAAGCUAGGUAUCGGUGAAGUCCGUCAUUGAAUUGAAGUGGUAGAGUGGUAAGUGUGCGUACAGUCUAUGGAUUUCCUAUCAGUGGCAUUAGUUCCUUCUCUAGAUAGAUGGCUAUUGAGCUUCUCAUUCGUGAGAGUCAUGCGCCGGAUCAAGGGCUCUCUCAUCUCGUAUUUGGAAAUGUAUAGGUUCUGUAUGUAAGUGGCCAGUGCCCGCGGGUAAAGGUUGAUCAUCCAAAGUCAUCUAAUCCAUCUAAGUGCCGGUAUUGCCCAGUGCUUGACUGGAGUUGUCAUGAUACCCGGAUACUCACCUCACUAUACGCUAAUUCAGGGAAAGGUCAUGCUGGGAAGCUUCCUUGAAAGAUAGUCUCAACACUCUCGACAAGAAACGAGAACCCAGCCAACGAAGGUUUAUGCAUAUAUUGGUCCGCAUCCAGAGGAAGUCAAGGUUUCCAGAUGUGCUCAUCCGUGCUUGCUGAUAUGCAAAUCGAUUGGAAUUGGCAAAUCAUAGAGUUUGUCGCUGACAAGAGCUGUUUUGGCCAUGGUGAUCCUCCUCUCAAUACCCAUUCCUGCGAAUUCCCAGUCCAAUUAUAUUAGUCUAAUGUGUAGAAGAAAAAGAGGAAUCCAUGAGAAAGACCAUCUUGUUUGUGGCAAUGGAACAUUCCUUUCCACUUUUUUGAAUGGAGAUCACUGACGAGCACUCUAGCGCAAAUCAAGAGUAAAGGUAGGAGCUAUGAAGCUGUCCCGGGUAGGAAAGGAUCCCUUUGAGUUCAUAUUGCUGUAGGAGAAAUAGAAGGGCACAGAGCUUCUAUAUACCACUGGAUUCCACCAGACUGUUCUGUGGAAAACACGUCACCCUAUCCCUUCCCUAACGGGAACCUGGAUACCAUAGCAUAGGAACCUCGAAAAUACGUAUUAUAGGUUGGUUGUAUACACACUCAUCCUUUAAGAAGAUAAGAGAGCCCCGCGGACAUUUCCUUCCUCGAAACCUGGAAACUGAUACUGCCUCGAUUCUGCUUCCGUCUAUGAUGUCCAAUCUUACUUUCGUGCCGAUGAAGGGCAGUCCGGAAGGUGGAGUUAGCACCGGGCCUAUUCUUAUAAGAAUAAGUAGGAGUAGGAGCACUCUUCUUCCUCAAGCGUAGUCGUAUUAGUUGGAUCCGGCAUCCUUUCGACUGGAGAUACCCUAGCAUUACCGGGUUCCCGGCAUACUGGCAAGUUUACUUGACUCACCCAUUCUUGAGACUGGCCUGGCCACUACUUUGUUUGAUUUCCUUGUCACUGUAGUAAGCAAGCGGCACCUAUUGAUCUACUUCCCUCUAGCAUCACUCAUCCUUACGGCACUAGUCCAUCCAUCCCUCGACCGAAGAGAGUCUUCCUCCUCACGGAACUAGGGUUUGGUAACAUAGACAAGACUUUCGAGCGCGACGUUGCGCACAUCCUCUUGCUUGGUAUCUUUUCUAGUGUGCAUCACAUUCAUUUUCCUUUCCAUUCAUUUUCCUUCCAUGUAGAUAUGAUAAUCUUCGUGGCAUCAACCUCAUAUAGGAGCUGCCAGUAGUACUUUCGCAGGAUUUUAAAGCAGGCAAACUUAUGAUGCGAGUCUUGUUAGAAUAGAACCAGUGCACUCUGAAAUCCGAACCAACCAAUAUGCUUCGCUUUCCUCUGCUCGUAUAGACUCCGUUCGUGUUAGGACAUCCAUAGCCAAUAGUAAUAGUAGCUAGUAGCUUCGCCCCCCCCUUGCCCCCGAAAAGGUUCUCAUUGCUCGCUGGAUCUAGUUGACUUGCUGCUACAGCAAUCAAUCUAUCUAUAUGUUCCGGACGGAAGAGAGAGUUUCCUACAUUCCCAUUCCCAUGAACUGAACAUCGGGUACCAACGAUCAUAGAAGCAAUGUUAGCCGGUUUUAGACUUAUCAGGCGUAACUAAAGAAAGAGGUGAAGCAGAUAGAUUGGUACAUUGUAAUCUUCUGUGGACAUUCUUUACUCAAAAGCAAUUGUUUUAUCUUUCUUGGUACCUUUACGUAUUAUUAUUUCAAAAAAGUUAACAUUUACUGCUUCCUCCCUUCGCUCCCCCCAUCAUAGAUGGUUCAGCCACACCCGGUGCCACGAAAUGAUUGAGAACUAGGACGGGGUCGAAAUGCAUUUUAUUCUUAGUAUUAAAAAAGUAUUGCAUGACCGAAUAAUUCAAGGAGGGGCGCACGGCGGGGAGGGUCCUUUUUAGUAGAUGACUCGUCGGGCCGUCAGAGCAGGACUUCUUUGGUAAAAAUAACUUGAUUCUAUUCCUUUUUAGUAAGGAGGCGGCAUUUCCCAUAAACUGCCCUGGUGAAUCCCUUAUCUUGUUUGCAGCAUCAUUCUCGAUCCCCUUAUUCCCUUCCCAAGAAGGAAUCAUAUCCUAUGGCUAACUCAUCCUUAUAUGGCUCCCGGAUCCUUAAAGAGAAUCAAAGGCUAUCUCGAGGGAUGGUCAGAGAAUCGGUUUAUCUUCACGGCACUAGACAGCACCUUUAUGAGUGCGUAUAAGCUUGCUUUAGAGCUAGAGCGUGCAUCUAAAAUAGUUUCAUAUCCCUUUCCAUCGAUCUUUCUUAUUGCUGUAGUACCCAUUCCUGCUAGCUUGGUCUGGUGGCCUUCUCUUGGCCAGGACUAUAUAUAAUAGUUUAUUGAGUGCUUCUUAGGUUGGUUCUCUUGAAGUGCAUAGCCCGGCCCCUUUUCUCUUUCUUCCAACGGAAAGGGUUCUCUUCUCUUCUGGUAUGGAGUUCGACUAGAGCCUGCCGCUUUUCUAGGUUUGGGUGUGGGUUGAUCUCAUAUCUUAGAGGACAGGGCGGGGCUUAUUCCCAAGGUCAGGUCCCAUGCCGGUGGACUUGAAAUACGAAGAUCUUAAGCUAAGCUACGGGGCUAGGAAUAUACUCCAGGUUGGGAGAUCUGUCCUGCCAUCGGGCAUGCAAGAAGCUAUGUGCGCAGGGCAUCAGAGGCUUACUCAAAUGGAACAUACGAAUCCAACCUUGCUUGACUCUCUUUUUCAUACUUGCCCUCGGGAUCAGUGGUAGAUUCGUAAUGUUAUUACUCAUGGGUAGCAGAUGAUGGAUCCAUUUCUGUUGAAGUAGUGGAGUGAAGAGGAGGGUUGGGGCCCGCCUCACAACGAGCCCGGGUAGCUAGAUAGGUAGAUAGUAGAUAGCAGUCCGGAUAGUGAUAAAAUCUGAAAUAAUCUUCUUCUGGAUUGAAAGAAAGCCUGUGCCGGAAAUAGAGAGAGUUCUGCUCUUGGUUGACAUAGAUCGCUCUACUCUCGAAUUGACAUACAUAGAGUUGAAAACAUACUCCUCACAAAUGAUCAUAGUUCACUACUAAUGAGCGAGUAACUACUAACGUUACGAGCGAAAAGAUGAAUCUACUUGGUUCAUAUCAUAUGUUCCGCUCCGUUGACAGGUUCAUAUAUGUACCUGAUGUUCAUGGAAACAACAGGAUGAUAAUUCAUUGAUGGGAAACUCACUUUGCUAUGCUAGGAAACUGACUAAUGAAACUAACAAGUUCAAGUGCUCUAGUCAAGUAGUAAGCUCCAGUGGGAAGCGCUAGUCCAGAUAGAAAGAAUAGACAGGAGGAUUGCCAGGUUGGUCCGCACAGGUGCAUAUCUGUAGGUUUCAGCACGGGAUUCCAGAUCGUUGGUACCCGAUGUUCAGUUCAUGGGAAUGGGAAUGUAGGAAACUCUCUCUUUCGUCCAGAACAUAUAGAUAGAUUGAUUGCUGUAGCAGCAAGUCAACUAGAUCAAGUGAGGAAUGAGAACCUUUCCGGGGGCAAGGGGGGCGAAGCUACUAGCUACUAUUACUAUUGGCUAUGGAUGUCCUAACACGAAGAUCUUGGUCCCUUAUUUAUAGUUCUAGCAUUAACCGGUCUGGAAUUAGGUGUAGCUAUAUCACAAGCUCAUGUUUUUACGAUCUCAAUUUGUAUUUACUUGAAUGAUGCUACAAAUCUCCAUCAAAAUGAGUCAUUUCAUAAUUGAAUAAAAACGAGGAACCAAAGAUUCUAGGGGGCUAUAGCUGCGCUUUUGCAGCACUGAACAUGGUUCUGGGUACUCAAGAUAUUGCGUUUGUGUUUGGAGAGGUGUAGAUUAUAGAUUCCAGCCAAGAAGACCAGGAAAAGAUAAGGAUAAAGAAUGUCAUAUAUCUCAGGAGCUAGAUCACUUCCCGAUGAACAAGUAAGAAUUGCCUCAACAAAAAUGGAUGGAAUUGGACCGAAAACAGACCAUGAACAUGAGUUUGAAAUGUAAAAAAAGGAAGAGUGCAUUAUCCACUUUCUUAUCUCGAAAAUGCGUAAUCUAGUGAUGUCAUGUGUCUGUUUCUCUGAAAAGGUGGGUCGGCCCUUAGGGAAAACAGUAGUGCCAGGUUCCAUUGUGGAACGGUCUCUUUCUGUCUUCCAUUUGAAUUCCGUGAUUUAUCCUGCUAUUUGGAGAUUAGUUGAUAUGGUCUUUCUUGGGUUUGGCUUUCAAAGUGCAGUUCGAAAAGAGUGAGUUGUUGUCAAUGGCUGGAAUGGAAUAUAGUUGUUUUCCAUCAGACGGCUGUUCACGUAACUCCACUCUCGGCUUGGAUUAUAUAUCCAUUUGGUCCGCUCUCGGCCAUUCCACAUGCUGCCUAGCAGAGACAUGGUUAUCUGAAGUGGAUUCUCUCUUUUGUAGUAGAUGCCGAACCUGCUGCUCAGUGGGCGGGCACAACAGCUACAUGGACCCCUUUCUUUAUGUUGUUGCCAGCGCUUUCCCGGGCCGAGCCGGAAUUUUUUAUUAGGACGUUGGCAGGCAAAGCCCGAAGGAAGGCUGCUAUCCCCUCGACCUUCUUCCUUUUCGAUGAAAAACAAAUCGACAUCUCAAUCUCCGAAAGCAUUUUCCUUACCUAGCUAAUAUCCCCCCCUCCGUCGAGCCUUUCCUUUAGUGGUAAGGGAUAUGCACCUUAUCUGAACGUCGGCAGGCAUUCCGGAAUUCUCCUUUUUUGGCCCUGGGUGAACAUAGGCUCAAACAUGAUUGGAGGGGUCCUAGCUACGCCAUGCGUUCAAUAAAAAAAAGCAAGCCUCCGGGAAGCUGCAGGGAUUAUAAAAAGAGGGUGCUUUCUUGUGUUGCACUGAAAAAAGGACAAAGGAGAAGACGUUCUUUGACUUACUUUCUUCCUCCCGCGCCUGCCUAAGCUCGGCCCACAUUAGAGGGGAAGAUUAGCAAAGCGGAAAAAGAUAGAGGGAGGGGGAGCUGCAUCUUAUUCUCUUCGCGAGAACUUCAGGAUCGGAGAAGCAUUCGGAAGGGGCGAGGCCUUCAUUUCGUUGGCAGAAGCAGAAACGACCCAAUCCAUUCAGGGCUUCGGGGAACCCAAAAACGAACUCUGUUUAUCGUUUCAUAUAUGCGCUAGGAUAUAUAUAGUAUCCUAUCCCCCUCAAUCUCAGGAGUCGCUUUCUCUAUGCCCGACUUACGAGCUCUUUGCUUAUUAUUUAUCGGGUGGGAUGAAGGUCGAAAUGUCUAGUUUGAAUUGCUUAUGCUUAUAUAGUUUGAAUCGUCUAGCUUCAUGCCAAGGUUGUUCUACAAAAGAACCAAGUAAGAAAGUAAGCCCGUUCAAUUGAAAUAGCUUCCUCGCUUCGUAGUUCGAUACCCACUGAAACUAUGGAUACGAUAGACUCGGGAGGGGUAAAGGACACCUCGUUCCGCGAGAGACCUAUCCUCGUUUCGAAAUAAAGGACCAUAGUGAGGAUCGAUCCCGGAUAAGUGAUUCAGUGUAGGGACAGAGGCUGAUGAUUCUAAAGGUGAUUUCUAACUACAAGAUGACUUUACUUGAAAAUGGAAUCCAAAUAUCAACAAAAAGAUGAAUGGAAAGUCUUGUCGAUAUGAAUUGAUCUUCAACCCAAUGACAAUGCUUCGAUUCCAUAAAGAUAUGUGGCCAUGAAAAAGGGAGGGGAUUCAAUGGAACAGGAUUGGCCGGGCGGUAGAGUCGUGGAAACACUUGUUGAUUCCUAUUUUGGACCCUAGCUCCAUGGAACAAUAUUCUACUGCGGAAACAUGGAAGAAUUGCAAUCUUAGAUCAAAACACUAUGUGUGGAAAGCUUGAUAAGGGUCAGUUACUUGUACAUUUGAUUAGUAUGAGCCACUCACAUUGUUUUUUAAGGAUAGGUGGGAGUAGGACCCUACAAUAAAGAGCAGAUAGCCCACAUGAAUCAUGGGAAUAACAAUACGAGGCCUUUGACGAGUAAAGGAGAAAUGCAAGAUUUGGAUCCGCAAUUUCAACAAGUAGUUCGUGCUUCGUCGGCAGGGGAGACUAUACGCCAUGAAAACCCACCCCUGGUAUCUCCACCUAUGGAUUGAGAGUCAAAAAGUGUGAAUUUCGUAUGUCCCGCUGGCACACGAUUUUGAUUACUUUUCUUGUUUCCCGUUUCAGAGAUCCGAUAAUGGAAUGCUAAAUCGAUAUCUAGGGUCGAGCCAGGGUACUUAUCCUCCCGUCUAUAAAUCAAUCACCAAUAAAAGACCAAAGUGGUGAUAAGUCAAGGGGCAGACAGGAGCAGCAUCGUAGCUAGGAACAGGUGCUGCACCGUAGCUAGUAGGAAGAAGUACAACAUAGCUACAUUCCCCAUAGGGUUGGCGCCCCUCCUCUCCAAUACAAAUUGAAUCAUAGCAAGGGCUAAGCUAUCUUAAAACCUACUAUCAAUCUGUUUAUAGAACUCAAUACUACUAUCCAUGAGAUCAUCAUAACAAAAACUAGAAUUGCCCAGCGAAAUAGGAAUAGAAAUAAAUCCAGGGUAACUUGUAUCAUGAGAUGGGUCCAUUCCAAUUGGAAUUCCGUAUGCCUUGGUUUAAGAGAGGAGCUCAGGUCCAUCUUGUGCUCACAAUACAUCUUAUUUAGCAGGGCCUCUGGGAUCUUUAGAGAAAGGCGAAGUCUCUACUUGUUAACCAUGGAUGCCUGUUAUAUUUACUUAUAGAGUGAAGAACAAGCCCACUUUCCAUAUCCCUUUCGUCCGGAUGAUCGAUUGCCUCAUUCUUCUUCGAAAAUAAGUGCAUUUGGCCAUUGUGUUUUUCCAACUUUCGUAAUAGAUCUGGGCAUGCAUGGUUUUCAAUAGAUAACCCUAGGCCUUCUUCGUUUCCCCACGGGCAUUCACUUCUCUUCAAGCUCGGGAUUAGCGAAACAUGGAUCCGACGNNNNNNNNNNNNNNNNNNNNNNNNNNNNNNNNNNNNNNNNNNNNNNNNNNNNNNNNNNNNNNNNNNNNNNNNNNNNNNNNNNNNNNNNNNNNNNNNNNNNNNNNNNNNNNNNNNNNNNNNNNNNNNNNNNNNNNNNNNNNNNNNNNNNNNNNNNNNNNNNNNNNNNNNNNNNNNNNNNNNNNNNNNNNNNNNNNNNNNNNNNNNNNNNNNNNNNNNNNNNNNNNNNNNNNNNNNNNNNNNNNNNNNNNNNNNNNNNNNNNNNNNNNNNNNNNNNNNNNNNNNNNNNNNNNNNNNNNNNNNNNNNNNNNNNNNNNNNNGCACUAACAAGGCUCAUGCGUAAAGGGAUGCCACCUCUAAGGGUGCAAACUUUACAACAGGAAAGGAACAGAUUUGGGAUCUUACCCUUGUCGAGACCGGUCGCCCAGGGCGCUUAGGCAAGGUACCAAUGCCAGAGGUACCGAUCUAAGCUUUCCCUAUUAAAGAGAAUUCCUCCUAACGUCGGAAACUCUAUUUAUUUGGGAUCGGUUCAUUUACCGACAUCCUCUCGGCUAUCAUACGUCCUCCGCUUAUCUCUCUUAGGCAUAGGCAUCUCAACACAUUCCUCCUUCCGAGUUGCUUGUCCGAACUUGGCUCUUUAGUAAAACGAAGGAGCUGCUAAGCUAUUAUUAGGUAUCAAUUUAGGAGCCUUUUGUCAUUUCCAACUACAUUAUUGUGAGCAUUCGGAACCCGUUCCUACGCGGUCAUCAAAUUGGCUGGCUUUGGACCCUCGAUCGCAGCACCACCAGAUCUUCAACAAGGUGGAAAUUCUCAUAUUUCGUAUGUACAUGUUCCUGCGGCUCGGAUGAGUCAUCAGGCAUAAAUUACACAAAGAUUGGCCAUGACUUAAGGACUAAAUAAUCUAAACAUGUUUGUUUUUGUGGAUCCUGAAUAAAAGGAGAUGCAGUGGAUUUCCCUCGGUCAAUAAACAACUGGAACUUAGCACAGGUACAUAUAAAAUAGAAAGGAGCAAAGGAUGCAGCAUAUCAUUCUAUUGCAGUAUUACACUACUUCUGGAACAACAUAAUUAAUAAAUUCAGCUUGCAUGCUUGUUUCAUGACAUCUCCUGACAAGUAUGGCACUUGCUUACAAGACUGCUACUGAAAAAGGCUACCUCUUCAAACUGCUGAAUGCCCUAUUCCAUCUAUCUUUCCCUGAAAAAGCAUAUACUUUUGUUCUAUAAGCAAAUAAAGCAUACUUCUUUUGCGGAUCAAGCAGUAUUCUACCUUGGUGGGUAUAGGAACUUGCUGCUGUCUUGGUUGGUUUGAGAGCAGGCACUGUCUAUAUAUCCAAAACUAGAGGAUAGUUCGGGUUUGGAUCACAGACGAUCGGAGAUUUUGGAUUGAGAUGGAUGGUUGUGCUUGAAGUUAUGAGUCGGGUAAUGCUAAGUUGAAUCGGCUGAUCCGUUUCAUCCUCUUUCGGCAAAGGAAGUUGGACUUUAGUUACCUAAAAAAAAGUACCAGCAGCCUGUCUGUGCCCUUUGAGUCUAUAGCCGCCAAAUCUAAAGAUUCCUUAAGUUGUCGUACGGCUUCUUUUUCUUCUUUUGUCAAUGAUCGGUGACAAUGAAUGCUACGAAUGUUCGCUUCCACUAAUGUUGUAUAAUAAUUGUGAGGUGCCCAUAGCUUCCCGGAAAGAAGAAGAGUCAUUGUCGUUUCCUGACCGAUAUGAAUGCACAUAUUGACCCUCGCCUCGGGAAAUACCACCAGUAGAGUCUGCAGAAGGUGUCGUUCAGGAGAUAUGCUGGGCUCUAGAUAUGCGAGUGAGAUACCCGCCCUCGGUCAAAAAAGAGAGUGCUAAAGGAGUCAUUCAGAAGUGAGUCAAGGGGCAAAGCUCAUUUCUUUCAUUCAGGAAUGGACACUAUACCAGAAUGAAAUGUGGGAAUAUCGGGAUUGGCAGAUUUUUUGUAUUAAACUAAAAAAACUCAACACGACUAGUGAAUUCAAAUUAGAGUCACUUGCGGAUUUCUUCAAAUUGUUGUAGUGUAGUAUUGUGGUUUUUCAGUAAAGACCCCGACCUAUAAAUAUUCACAGCCCGGCUCAUACGGGCGGACAAUAUUCACCCAGAGCCCCUUUGCGACCGCAAUGCUGUUCUUGAAGGACCUUACCUUAGAGCAAAAAAAAGGCAUAGAAGUUAGGAAGACUACUGACGUAGGGCGGCGGGUGAGCUCAACCUCGAACCAAACAAGCAACGGAUUGAGCAACUAGCGCGAAAGCUGUUGCGUGUUAGCGCAUCCGUUUUCUUGCUCCAUCGUUAUUAGUUUCUAUUCUCUCCCUGCACGAACCUCGGUCCAAUCAAUUUGUUUGGAAUUGGGGUUAGGACCGGUUAGAACUCCCAUUUCCCGAUCGGAGGUUUGAGCUGCUAUGGCAAGCUUUUUUUCCGAUUAGUGGGUAUGGGGAAUCCACCGUACCAACACGAUUGGCUGGUGUUGCUGAUACCGGACCCGUUAUAACCCCGAUUGGAAGGGCAGGCCAGUCUGACGCUCUGGGGAUGCGAGGCCAUUGAAAGUGAGUAUCCCAUAUUCUAUGACGGAGAUAGAUCAUUAAUUGCAGUUUUCACCCCACCUUAACGACCGAGCGAGGGAUGAAAUCUUUCGACGACUAGGGAGGCAUCACCCGAGGCCGAUUCCAGUGGAUCACUAUAGAAUCUUCUAGAAGCAGGUUCUCCGGGCACUAUGGUAGGACGUGGAUCGAUCAUGACGAGAAUGGACUUCUCCGUCAUGUAAUGGUUUAGAAGAGUCACGGUCAAUCUUUAUAUCCUUUCUGGCAUAGUUUUGUAAAAGAUCAGCAGGUGAUACGUCCUUUCUCCUCUGUCGUGGUUCAUGCAUUCUUCCUUUUUAGAAAGCGGAUAGGGAUCAGGUGAAUUAGAGAAUAGACAGACGUCCGUUGGCAUUUCAGCCUUUCUUCUCCUUUUAGGGCCUAUCCGAAAGAGAAUCCAGUACCUCUUGGUCCUAAAUAUCAGAAUAGGACGCGCAACAAUGGAACAACAAGAGCAAGACCGCUCCAAACUAAAUCACAGUAGAGGUUAUGGCCUCUCAGGCUGGACCAAAACAGCAAGCGGAAGGUCUCCGAAAGUCCUACAUUAGCACCAAGCCAUCCCCCAAGGGAGGGUAUAACGGAGUGUGGUAAAAUCCAUUUGCUAAUGCUCCUGGUUGUGGGUUCUUCACAAUUAGCAUGUUCGAUUCAAAGGAUUUCCACUUGAGUAAAGCUAUGGUGGGAAAUAAACUACCAAUUAGGCAAUGCGCGUCUCUAUUUCUUGAAUUCUCUGGUCUAGGCAACCCGAAAGCGUACCAGUAGUUUAUUUAAUGAACUAUAUACCAGCCUUGAAACUAAAGAGCUAUAAAGUAAUAAUUGGUGGGUUGUGAUAUCAGUAGGACAUAUCACAAUACAUUCAUCUAAUGCUAUCAGAAUUGUAGUCCUCGUAUGUACAUCUUCCAUAUUGUGAUAAAGCACCUAUGCCGCUAGAAAUAGUAGCGCCUUAAAGAAGGCGUUCCAGGUUCUUUUUCCCCUAGUUUGUAUCAGAGCUGACCACUGAUAAUAGGCAAAAUGAAACAUUUGGUGUGUUUUAGUUCAUUCUCAAUCUUGUUUCCCCUUGCGCUCCGAGGGAAAUAAAGGGGAAAUCACUGAUUCAUUUAGAGCUGUUUUCUAACUGACUCAUUGACAUGAGAGAUUGGAUGCGAUGCGCCAGUCACUCGUACUACAGCGGACAAAGGCCACCGGCAAACGACCGUUCCACAAUGGAACCUGGCACUACUAUUUGCCCUAAGGGCCGACCCACCUUUUUAGAGAAACAGACACAUGACAUCACUAUAUUACACAUUUUCGAGGUAAGAAAGUGGAGAAUGCACUCUUCCCUUUUUUUACAUUUUAAACUCAUGUUCAUGGUCUGUUUUAUUCCCAAUUGUUGCCCGUGUGAAAAGAAAGAAGAGAAAUUGGGCCAUGUUUCCCGAGAGAGACUGACUUCUCUCAGGCCAGCAGUCUUAUACUUAUAGUCGACUGCUCUAUGACGAUCUAACCUCUUUCCUGGGCUAUGCUUGCUCGUCUACGCUCCGACCAAUUCAGUCAAAAUCGAAAAAACGAUGUUUCCUUGAAGAAGUCUAAGAAAUAGUAGUAGUAGCCAAAAAGUGCACUUUUUCCAUAUAUUUCAAUUACCGUUGAGGUCCUUAGUUUAGUCAAGUAGGCGAGGGCAUUUCCAUCGCGAAGGAUUCAAUCCAGCCGCAGGUUCCCCUACGGCUACCUUGUUACGACUUCACCCCAGUCGAAGACCCCACCGUGGUAUGCGCCAAUAAGACCACCAAAGGCUAGCUGUACACAGAAGUCACGGGUGGUCAUUGGUCCGAUGCUUCGGGCGAAACCAAUUCCCAGGGUGUGACGGGCGGUGUGUGUCGGAUUUAGGGUUCUGGCAGACCCUUGAGGUUCGAACACUGGGGUGCGCGCGGAGGUUUCGCCUUCUACCUACCUGUUCCUCGCCGAAUCGCUAGGAUCUAAACUACGAGAAGAACAACACAAGAGACACAGGGUUUAUACUGGUUCAGGCCACCAUUAUGGUGUAAUACCCUACUCCAGUGUGUGGCGUGGUGGAUUGCCUCUUGGGUUGAUGAUGAACAAUACAAGGAAGAACAGCCUCGCAAGGGUCUGUUCUUGUGGUGGCGUUGUCCCUUUGGAGGGGUUGAUUCUAGAUGCCUAUCUUAUCUCCUGAUUCCUAUCCAGAUGCCUCUACCCUGCGGGUGGCUAGUCCUAUUUAUAGGCGAAGGCCCUGGGCCUCUUCCCAAAUAUUGAGCGGGAAGGGCGCCAACAAUUGGCCAAUUUGAAGGGGAACAUCUAGUACACUUAUCCUGACUAAAGUUGGUCCUCGCCUGUCAAAGGCUCUGGUGGUGACGCCGACUUGGGCUCCACGGUGACCUCCAUCCUACCGUUGGACUGGUCUUGGUCUUGUUGCACCGAAAUGGAUGCCUUUGCUUGAUGCUCUCGCCUGCGCUUGCUCCCCUUGCACCAAAGAGGAAAGAAGGACACUGCGCGGGCUGGCGCCCGGCUGGAGCCCUUGGUCGUCAUGGCUUGCAUCAUGGGCACCUCGUGAGGUACCCCGCCUUGAACUCUCCGCCUCCUCGUGAGCCAGCCUGACGAGGCCGUGCCUGAGGAAGCUCCUUGUCGUCCGCCCCGCAAGGCUUGGCCCCUCGCGAGGGUCUUGAGCUUGUGUUGAUGAAGAUGGGCCGUGCUGGGCCCCCUUUGAGCCACGCCCCAGGCCGCAGGCAGGCAAGUCUAGGGACCCCCGUUCCCGGAAUGCCGACAGUAGCCCCCGGGCCCAAUGCGCGCCCGGACUUGGCUGAGCAGAGAGGCGAAAGGGCAAGUGUGAAGCGUCGCGGGCCCUAACAGCCUGCGGCCUUGGGCGCCGCGUGGCGGUUGAUUGGACGUGGGCGCCUCCACAACCGCGCGAGUUGAUAAGGAGCGGCAUCUAUCCUCUGCCUCCUUUGCUCUCUCCAGUUGCUGCUCAGAUCCCCUUUCUUGCGCCUCUCCUUCCUUCCUUCGAAAUCUCCAGAUCUACUCCACCCGUGCGCCCUAGCCUGACAUGGCGCCUCGCCAGGCCCCGGCCGGAGCUUGGUAUUCGUCCGCCUUGGACUCGCCGAACGUGUCGGAGGCGAGCCUUGCCCGAGUGCGCCAGAUGGCAGCAGCGCAGGGCGUCGACGGGGCGAAGGUGUUUAAGGCCGGCUCUGCCCUCCCUGAGGGCCAAGGGAGCACCUUCUAUUCGCUCUUCGUGAGCGCCAUUGUCGCCGGUCUGGUGCAUCCCUUCUCCGAGUUCUUCUUUUCUCUCCUCUGCCAUUACAACCUUCAAGCUCUGCACCUCCACCCCAACUCUAUCCUCCUUCUGGCAAUCUUCGCCUACUAUUGCGAGGCUCACGUGGGGGUGAAGCCCUUAGUGGCCCUGCUGCGCCACUACUUCUCCCUCCAGACCUCUCGUGGUUCUGUCUCUGCGUGUGUGAGCUUCUUCGGGUACGGCAGCUCCAUCGCCAUUUCGAAUCCCGGGAAAAGGAUUGAGGGCUUCAGGAGCAAGUGGGUCUUGGUUGAUGCUGGGCGUGUCCACCCCCGGCUGGUCUUGCCCACGGGGCACCCCUCGAGCUCCGACGACUGGUCUCGAGUCGAGCUGGUGGAUCCCCGCGCAAGGCUGGUGUUGGAGAAGAUGGAUGCGGAUCUGAGGCCGGCCAGCAUGGCGGCGGCAAAGCUGACUAGCGCCUCACUGCUGAGGGAGUUCCCAGAGCAUCAGCUGGCUCUGCUUCAUCAGUACUUGCUUCCGAUGUGGAGGCCCCACCCGAGCCCCGCGGUCCUGGCCGAUGAGGAUCUGGCCGCGGACCUCCAGUCUUUGGUUGGGGGCGACGUGGCAAGGUUGGAGGGCGCUCCGACGCCCCUGUUCCUUCGCGAGGACUGGGAGCAGGUUGUGGGGUCCAUGCCCGUCUUCAACGAGGACGUGCCUGUGCCCGCGGAGGCUCCUGAGGACCAGGUGGACGUAUCCUCCGGCGACUCCAGCGAAGAGAGGGAGGAAGGGGAGCAGGAAAAGGGGGCUGACUCUGAGGCAGAGUCAAGGGCUCCACCUCUUCGGUGCAAGUCCCGCGCUCUUCGCCUUCCUCUGAGUGACGAUGACGAGGGUGAUGACGAGCAGGGCGGCGGGAGCCUGCCGCUGGUCCCGAAGAAGGACCGGACUGGGCUGACCCCCCGCGGGUACGCCCCAGCCCCGAGGCGAUCCGCAGGCGCCCCAGCUGCACCCGUGCUCCUUGAGGCUAAUCCUUGCAACCGGCUCUCGGGCUUCAAGUACGGCGGCAGGCUGCUCGAGCCCGCGGGCAACGACCUAUAAGUGCUUGAUCCCUGUCUUGUUUUUUGUUUCGUCGCUGAGGCUUGACGUCCGUAUCGCCCGGCUAGGCUGGCGCCCACAACAAAGAAGCCGAAGGGGGAUCCUGAGACUCCAUCCGCGGUAGCGCCUCUGCUCGCGAAAGAACAUGAACGUGACGCGCGGGCCUCUCCUGCCCAGGCAUCCCUGCGAGGCCCUGCCGAGCCGGCUGGGGCGAGCUCGGCUCCUGUGGCCCUGGCGACUGCCGAGGCACCCCCGCUUGACGGCGCCACCACAGCCACUGGGGCGCAGCAGGCUCCGCCUCAGGACACCGUGGUCACGCUGCCGUCUUCUCCUCCUACCCCGCCGACUGCUGCUUCCCCGUCCCCUCCUACUGUCCUGGAUCGUGCUGCUGCCGAACUGGACCGUCUGCGGCGGGAUCUUCUGAGCGCCGACCCUCGUUUGGUGGUCGGGCGCUUGGAGCUAGCCUCUGGCUGGAUUUGCUCCGAUGCUUCGAUUCGGGCGGUGCUGGUCCAGGCUUCGACGGCCUGCGACGAGGAGAAGCAGGCUGUCCUUGGGGCGAAGGUUGCCCGCGAAGCCGCCUUGCGGGAGGCGGCUAAUGCCCGAGGUCGUUGCGAGGUGCUGGAGGGCGAGCUGAAGGGCCUGCAGGACCGGCUCGCCGAGGAGACUCAGCUUCGCCUAGAGUAGGAGGACGGCAUGAAGGCUCGCAAGGCGACCGUCAAGGACUGGGACGCCAAGCUCAAGAAGCGCCAUGACCGCCUAGGCGCGCUGGAGCGAGAGCUGGAGGCGAGGAAGGUUGAGUUGGACGGCAAGGCACGGGUUCUCGCCGAGGAUCGUGUGGCCUUUGCGGAGAUGGAGGAGAAGGCCCACACUUCACUAAAGACGCUCUAUGAGAGCGGCCUGGAGAGCCCGUUGGCCGGCGAGGAGGACGGCCCCGCCAAGCUUCUUCCUUUCCUGGUUCGUGCCCUUGAAGAUGUCGCCCUUGGCCUUGGCCCUACGGCUGAGGCCGAGGCACGCGUCUUGUCUUCUGCGGCGCUGACGCGGGUCUUCACCCACAUCUAUCUUCGCGACCCCAACAUCAACCUCAACGGCCUGCUGGAGCCAGCGAGUGGCGAGCAUGCCGCUGUCGCUGCUGAGGCCGUGAAGGGUCGUGCGGAGGUUCUGCUGGGGAAGUUCCGGGCCUUCAGCACCAGGCCGAAGCAGAGCGCUGCCAGCCCGGCAGCUCCACAAGGCGAACCCGCUCCGUGCAACUCCAUGGCCGGCAAGUGACUCCGUUGUGGCUCCCGUCCUGCUUUUAGUUUCUGCACAUGUAUCAGGCCUCUGGGAGGCGUUAAAACUUGCAUUUGGUGUUGUGAUAAUAGUAUGGACUGUAAUAUUUGCUUUUGAAUUCCUUGAAAUUUGUGCUAUUUCCUUCCUACUUGAUUGUGUCCUACGCCGGCAGAGCCCGGCCCCGCGCAUACCUCAGCCGCCGUUAGCCCCAAUCGGAAACCAGGACGGGACCAAGGAGUGAGGGGCUACGUGACAAGUUAGGCUCCUGAGUCACGAUGCUCAGGAGUCCCCCUUGGCGCUCGAACAGCAAGUAGGGAGGUGAGAUGUGGGGGUGGAUCUACCGUUCUACGUCUGCAGAGCCCGGCCCCGCGCAUACCUCAACCGUCAUUAGCCCCGACCGGAAACCAGGACGGGACCAAGGAGUGAGGGGCUACGUGACCAGUUAGGCUCCUGAGUCACGAUGCUCAGGGGUCUCCCUUGACGCUCAAACGGCCUUCAUACCUUGGCUCCGCUCGGGGAGGGACGCGCGACGAACCAGGCCCGGGGGGCCUGGCUGGGUGGCGUGCGUCUGGGCGUGACCCAGGCGUAGCCCCCGUGCCCAGCCCCCUCGCGCGGCACCCCCAAGGGGAGGCAUUGCGAUGAGGCUAGACACUGAGCUCUGGGCUCCCUGAGGUUGAUGCAGCCCGGGGGCCACCCUCAGUUGUUUAUCACCAGCGCGGAGCAUAGCGCUUCCGUAUGCGUACGGGCAUAGCCGCUCCUCGGCAGUCUCAUCAGCCAGCGCAGAGUAUGGUGCUUACACUGGUGCAUGGGAGGGGGCUCCGCUCCGGGAGGAGCCCCCGGGGCGUGUACAGCCCCACCCUGACACGUGGAUGGCACGGUAGGGCUUGACGAGGUGUAUCUGGGCACCCAUGAGCCAGCGCGGGACUCACGGGGACCUACCUCAAGGCGGAUUGCGCCUGGCUCUGGGCCUUAUCUUGGAGUGUGUUCCUGCAAAUUUGGCUAGAUGCCGAUGCUCUACGUCCUCGGGUCCCGGCUCUCGGGCUGGUCUCAGCCGUCGCUGGCAUGCCGAGGCGUGAUGCCGUGGGCAGACCAGAGGGUGAGGGCCGGAGAGCCGAUAGGAGCCCUGAGUCGCGAUGCUCAGGCACCCCCCUUUAACGCGCAAGUUGGGUUAGAUGUCGAAACUCUAUGUCCUCGGGUCCCGGCUCUCGGGCUGGUCUCAGCCGUCACUGGUAUGCCGGGGCGCGAUGCCGUGGGCAGACCAGAGGGUGAGGGCCGGAGAGCCGGUAGGAGCCCUGAGUNNNNNNNNNNNNNNNNNNNNNNNNNNNNNNNNNNNNNNNNNNNNNNNNNNNNNNNNNNNNNNNNNNNNNNNNNNNNNNNNNNNNNNNNNNNNNNNNNNNNNNNNNNNNNNNNNNNNNNNNNNNNNNNNNNNNNNNNNNNNNNNNNNNNNNNNNNNNNNNNNNNNNNNNNNNNNNNNNNNNNNNNNNNNNNNNNNNNNNNNNNNNNNNNNNNNNNNNNNNNNNNNNNNNNNNNNNNNNNNNNNNNNNNNNNNNNNNNNNNNNNNNNNNNNNNNNNNNNNNNNNNNNNNNNNNNNNNNNNNNNNNNNNNNNNNNNNNNNNNNNNNNNNNNNNNNNNNNNNNNNNNNNNNNNNNNNNNNNNNNNNNNNNNCGAUGCUCAGGCACCCCCCUUUAACGCGCAAGUUGGGUUAGAUGUCAAAACUCUACGUCCUCGGGUCCCGGCUCUCGGGCUGGUCUCAGCCGUCACUGGUAUGCCGGAGCGCGAUGCCGUGGGCAGACCAGAGGGUGAGGGCCGGAGAGCCGGUAGGAGCCCUGAGUCGCGAUGCUCAGGCACCCCCCCUUUAACGCGCAAGCUGGGUUAGAUGUCAAAACUCUACAUCCUCGGGUCCCGGCUCUCGGGCUGGUCUCAGCCGUCGCUGGCAUGCCGGGGCGCGAUGCCGUGGGCAGACCAGAGGGUGAGGGCCGGAGAGCCGGUAGGAGCCCUGAGUCGUGAUGCUCAGGCACCCCCCCUUUAACGCGUAAGCUUGCGACAUCCAAGAAGAAAAAGGUACCAUGAACAGGCACCAAACAACAAGCAUGACGGGUCGAAAACAUGGCCCUAAGAUAAAUGCAAGAGGGGUACAUGCCACUGGGUCUGACCCGAGCGGCUUGGGGAUAAUGCAGCCCGAGGGGCGCCCCCAGCAGAGUGAGCUAAGAACAUGAAAUAAAAGAGAUACACGCCAUAGGGACGGACCCACGCGGCCUGGGAAUAAUGCAGCCGUGAGGGCGCUCCCAGCUGGAAAUGAAACUAGAAAGAUGUCACCUGAUGACGCUGAAGACGAAGGGGUGUUGAUGCAGCAGACUCGGUGGGCUAUGGGGGCGGAUCCUCACGAGCCCCCAGGCCCUGGGGCCUCGGGAGGCUCCGGAGGCACUGGUGGCUCCUUGCGGACCGUCUCCAUCUCCACCAGGGCUGCGGAACGCCUGACCUCUUGAGCCUCCAGGAUGGCCCUCAUGAUGCGCUGGUACGCAGCAGACGUGUUCGGCGAGCCGUAAGGCAUGCGAACGUAGAUGUGGGGCGGGCCCUCGCAGCGUCCCGCUCGUGAAGGCCAGAGGCGCUCCUGAGACGCGGCUUGGUUGAGCCCUGGUAUGUCGAUGCAGACAUGCAGCCCACCAUCCUCGCCUGGAUGGGGGGCCACGGCGGGUAAGCGGCGGCUGCCUCUCAUGACCCUUGACUCCUGUAGCUCCUGAAUGGCCUUGCUGACGAACUCUUGAGGGUUUGGCCCUCCUUGCCUUGCUCCCUCUUGAUGGAAACGUGCUUCGAAGCACGCCUCCACGUGGUGCCCAAGCGCCUCCCUCAUGACCUUGGCGAGGUCGACGGCCCUCCAGGGGAGAGCCCCCGAGCCCUGCCUGAGGAGGGUGCCGGGCGGGCUAUGCGAUGGAAGGAGGUUCCCCUUGAGAAGGCGCGGGUCCUGAUGGACCUUCCUCCUGAGGGGCCAGGCCGGCCGAUGUCUUCCUCUUCUUGGGGGCAGCCUCGGGAAGCCUCCUGCUUCCGCGAUCCGGGUCUUCCAAUGAUGCGGCCUGAAAGGCUCUCUCCAGGGAGCAAACUGCGUCUCUCUCUUCGCAGGGCACCGUGAUGACUCUGCCACUUCCUGGCAUCUUGAGGACGUUGCAGCCGUGGUGGGUUACGGCCAUUAACUUGGCCAGCGCUGGGUACCCGAGGAUGGCGUUGUACGGCAGGCGAAUGUGGGCGACGUCGAAGUCGAUGAGCUCGGUCCGGUAGUUGUCGCGUGCCCCGAAGGUGACAGGGAGGCGGACCUGCCCAAUCGGGACCGUGGAGCCGUCGGUGACUCCAGAGAAAGGCUUGGUUGGCUGAAGCUGACUGUAGGGUACUUGGAGAUUGUUGAAUGUUUCCACGGACAGGACAUUGAGCCCUGCUCCGCCAUCGAUGAGGGUCCUGCUGACUAGCACAUUGCUGAUGAUUGGGGAACAAAGCAUCGGGAGGACUCCGGCUGUGGCCGCGCACUUGAGCUGAUCCGCUGAGCUGAAUGUGAUGGCACACGCCGACCACCUGAGAGGGCGCGGGGCCUCGAGCUUGGGGAGGACUGCAUUCACUUAUCAGGCGAAAUGCGCUGAGAUGCUGGGGCUUGAGCUCCGCCUAGGAUGCAGGCGAUCGCACGUGGUUCCUGGAAGCCCCCACCCCCCUCGUCCGGAUGACGGUCCUCAUUUCUCCUUGGCUACGGCGGUAGCGGAGGGAGGCCUGCGUUACCUUGCAGGCGAUCCUCGCGAGGCUGAUCCCUCCAGCCUCCCUCACGAGGCGGGUCCUGCAAGCGAUCCUUGCAAGGUUGGUCGCGCCACCCUUGACGUGGGCCGCGGUCUUCCCAGCGUCCUGUGUUCCUUCCUCCUCCUCGUCCGUAGCCCCGGUCGCUGCGGUCGGGAUGCCGGCCAUUCCGUCCUUCACGCACGGCCCGGAGCUCUUGGCAUUCAUUGGUGUUAUGGGUGUGGAGGUCGUGGUACACGCAGUACCGACUGCCCUUGGAGGAUUCGGGCUGAUCUCUGCCCCGCUUGGUGUCUGGUUCUGCCGCGAGCACGGCAGCCCCCUUGCGCUUCACAUCCUUGGCCUUGGGCUUCUUCUCUUCAGGGUCUGCGGCAGGCAAUUCGAGGAGGGAGAGACGCCCUUCCUCAGCCCUCGCGCACUUGGUCGCCAGGUUGAACAGCUCCAAGGAAGUGCAAAGAUCUUCAUGCAUUGCAAGCUCCUCCUUCAUUUUGAUGUCACGCACGCCGUCAGAGAAGGCUGAGAUGAUGGCCUCCUCGGUCACCUUGGGAAUCUUGAGGCGCGCGUUGUUGAAGCGCUGGAUGUACUUCUGCAGGGUUUCCCCUGGUUGCUGCUUGAUGCGGCGCAUGUCGCUCACGGUAGGUGGCCGGUCACAGGUACCUUGGAAGUUGCGAUGAAGCGGGUGCGCAUCUCGUCCCAGGAGGAGAUCGUGCCUGGGGCCAGGUUCAGAAGCCAGGUGCGGCCCCGUCCUUGAGAGCCAUGGGAAACCAGUUCGCCAUGACCUUCUCGUCUCCGUUGGCAGCCUCGAUGCCCAGCUCAUAGAGCUGGAGGAACUCUGCAGGGUCAGCCGUGCCAUCGUAGCGAGGAGGCAGGUCUGGCUUGAACUUGCCGGGCCACGCGAUGGUGCGUAGCUCGGUGGUGAAGGCGCAGCAGCCCGCUGUGGCCACCGGAGGCCUUGGAGGACGAAGGGCUCGAUCCUGCGGGUCCCUGUGCGCCGCAGCUAGGUGCAGCGCGGGGUCUUGAUGUGCUGGAGCAGGGGCGUGGUCGGGACGAGUCGGAGCAGGGAGCGCUCGGGCAGCUUCUCGAGGGCGAGGGACCUCUUGGCAGCUCUGCUCCUGCCGUGCUGGUUCCUGACAGGGCGGGUUCCGCCCAGGGGCCACGCGCCUUGGAGCCAGGGCGCCUUCUUGAGGGGGAGGCAGUUGAGGCGCCCCAGGAGCUUCAUUGCCCGUGCAUGGCGGGGCGCGGUGCAGCGAGAAAGAUGGCGCGGGGGAGCCCCCAACGGCGCGGACGAGCUCGGCGACUCGGUCGAGCCAUUCUUCGUAGACGUCUUCGACGGGGCGGUAGCGCAGGAGCUCAUUUGCCGUGAUGAGCGCAGCUCGAGCCUCCAUGGCCGCACGGGGCGCGCGGGACGAAGAACCAGCAGGGGUGAGCAAGGGCAUAGCGGUGCGGCCGUCUCGCCUCAUGGACGGGUGCUGGGACGAUGCUUGCUGCUCGUUCCCCGCCGGGCCGGUGGCGGCGUUGACGGUAGGCGACGAGGAACGGUGAGGGCGCCUGCCGACGGGAGCCAUCUGGGCGACGCGGGAAGCGAGGGCGGCUCGGCGCUCGGCGCGAACCCGGCGUGCGUUAGACAUGGUCGCGACGGUCGGAGAAGAACAGGGAGACGGAAGACGAAUUCCGGAGCACCCCUACCUGGCGCGCCAAAUGUCGGAUUUAGGGUUCCGGCAGACCCUUGAGGUUCGAACACUGGGGUGCGCGCGGAGGUUUCGCCUUCUACCUACCUGUUCCUCGCCGAAUCACUAGGAUCUAAACUACGAGAAGAACAACACAAGAGACACAGGGUUUAUACUGGUUCAGGCCACCAUUGUGGUGUAAUACCCUACUCCAGUGUGUGGCAUGAUGGAUUGCCUCUUGGGCUGAUGAUGAACAAUAUAAGGAAGAACAGCCUCGCGAGGGUCUGUUCUUGUGGUGGCGUUGUCCCUUUGGAGGGGUUGAUUCUAGAUGCCUAUCUUAUCUCCUGAUUCCUAUCCAUAUGCCUCUACCCUGCGGGUGGCUAGUCCUAUUUAUAGGCGAAGGCCCUGGGCCUCUUCCCAAAUAUUGAGCGGGAAGGGCGCCAACAAUUGGCCAAUUUGAAGGGGAACAUCUAGUACACUUAUCCUGACUAAAGUUGGUCCUCGCCUGUCAAAGGCUCUGGUGGUGACGCCGACUUGGGCUCCACGAUGACCUCCAUCCUGCUGUUGGACUGGUCUUGGUCUUGUUGCAUCGAAAUGGAUGCCUUUGCUUGAUGCUCUCGCCUGCGCUUGCUCCCCUUGCACCAAAAGAGGAAAGAAGGACACUGCGCGGGCUGGCGCCCGGCUGGCGCCCUUGGUCGUCAUGUCUUGCGUCAUGGGCACCUCGCGAGGUACCCCGCCUUGAACUCUCCGCCUCCUUGUGAGCCAGCCUGACGAGGCCGUGCCUGAGGAAGCUCCUUGUCGUCCGCCCCGCGAGGCUUGGACCCUCGCGAGGGUCUUGAGCUUGUGUUGAUGAAGAUGGGCCGUGCUGGGCCCCCUUUGAGCCACGCCACAGGCCGCAGGCAGGCAAGUCUGGGGACCCCCGUUCCCAAAACACCGACAGUGUGUAUAGGGCCCGAGUACAUAUUCACCGCGACAUGUUGAUCCGCGAUUACUAGCAAUUUCAACUUCAUGUUCCCGAGUUGCAGAGAACAAUCCGAACUGAGGCAAUCUUUCCGGAUUCGCUCCGCCUUACAGCCUUGCUUCCCAUUGUCAUUGCCAUUGUAGCACGUGUGUGGCCCAGCCCAUAAGGGCCAUGCGGACUUGACUUCAUCCCCACCUUCCUCCAGUAUCUCACUGGCAGUCCCUCGUGAGUGCGGCACGCACCUUUUUCUUUGUUUCGGAGCGGGGCGCGUACUAUUACCACUACGUUCCACACCAUUUUCUAGCCUUCAUGCCGAGUCUUCCUCCGCCGCCAACUCAACAUCGUCGUAACCAAUUUCAACCAAACCUCCAUGCUCACUGGUACUUUGACGUCACUAUAGGUAGGUCUCCGUGGGUCUUGGGCAAGACGACUUUGGUUCACACGUGAAAGUGCUUCGAAAGGCACCGGCUCCCAAUGGUGAAAUUCUUGCUGAAAGCACAGCUACGUGCUGGCACUCAAUCAAGUAGUAGCGCUGGCACGUCACUCAGUGGCAAUUUCUCCUUAGGCGCAUGUCUCAGCAACACAAAACGAGGGUUUUGCUCGUUAUAGGACUUGACCAAACAUCUCACGACACGAGCUGACGACAGCCAUGCAGCACCUGUAUGAAAGUCAGUACCAUCCUGUUAAGGACAGGUUUUGUUGUUCAUAUGUCAAGGGAUAGUAAGGUUUUGCGUGUUGUAUCGAAUUAAACCACAUGCUCCACUGCUUGUGCAGGCCCCCGUCAAUUCCUUUGAGUUUCGGUCUUGCGACCGUCCCCACAUUUUUCUACCCCUUCUGUUCUGAGACGUGACUUUUCGUCGUCCCUCCUUUAAAUAAGAUCCCUCACUUAUAGCUCGACGGGACCACACGUGGACGGGGCAUUCAAAUUCUUUUUAUAGCAGGAUCGUAACAUCCUCUUAGUUUUGUCGAAAUUGGACAAACAUGUGUUCCUCAACCCUAGGUAGGGCGUGACUAGGACAUACCUAGCCACUCGAGCCAGACUAUUGUCUACCUAAAUAGCUUUUCGUUUGCCAUUAACUGAUCACCAAUGUUGCGUCACAGUCACUCAAAUACAGGGUUAGAGGAGCACCGUCCUUUCUUAUCUUGUGACCUUGAGUUGGUUAGGUGGUCAAUCUUUGGAUUCAGGGUUCAGUAGCACCUCGAGCCGAAUCUAUAUCGGUCGUUAUGGGUAAUCAUUUGCACCCUUAGGGCUUUUGGUACUUGGAACAGUUUAUCCUAGUCCCCUCUAGGCCAAGUAGUAUUGCACCCUUUGCAGCCGCUCCAAAUUACGCUUAUCAGAUCCCAAUAUCGUGCUAGGAUAGGAAGAUCGCCUCUUCCUGUGCAUUGUUGGUUCAUGAUUGUUCUGGAGUGCGAAUAACUUUGUGGGUGAUGGCUAACUUCUGAAACAUGCCUUCAAUCAAGACCAACCUAUCUAGAAGUAGCGGUUUCCUCAAAUGUGGGUUGCCGAGAUUCCCAGCGGGUGGUCUCGAUCGCUGCUAUAUGCAAUUUCUGGGUCCUGUGUUUUUGCUGACUUGUCCUCUUUUCAGCGAGUGGGUAUAUGAAACAUGCAUGCACUUUUUCCUAAAUCUGGAUGUAUCAAUAAGUUCAGUCCCAUAAAUAAAUAGAGUUUCCGACCUUUGGGAGGAAUUCCCCUUAAUAGUUAAUAGCUAGUUGGCUAGUUGGAAUGGCAGUACGUAACAUUCAGUGAUGAGUAGUUCAUAAUGCUGGUCUUAUUCCACCUGCAUGUCGGUAAAUAAAGUAAUAUAUUCUCUGACCCAGGGGAGGAAUUCUACAAAUAGCAAGGCAGUAUUGACUAUCUUCCAGUCAAGGGUUUGGAAGAAAGCACAUCAACCAAGAGAAUCGAUCAAUUCCUUUGUGUUUAUUUGCCUAACCACCCGAGUAUACUUGACUCAAGUAUGUCAUCUCAAAUCCAGACUAGUAAUAUCACAUCUGCAUAAGUCGGUUUCAACUAGUCAAGCAGUUCUGUUGUGAAAGCGGAGUAGUGCCUUUCCUGCAUUCCUUGGAUAAAGCGCCCUGGGCGACCGGACUCGACAAGGGUAAGAUCCCGAAUCUGUUCGAUUACCGGCUUGACCACACUGAUGCCGUGUUGUAUUACCUGGUUUCCCACCUUUGGAAUAGGGCCUUCUUGUAGCUAGGGUCUCCUUUGGUUGUAUGCUUGCUGCGAGGUCGCUCAUUGGGUAGGGUCUGCCUCAUGCCUAUAUUACUAUACCUAACAAUCUAAGUAAGCCCCCCCCCCCGAGGGCCUCCUCACUCCGAUUCACCUCCCAGGUGGUAUGAAAAACUGUUUAGUUUCUUUACCAUCAAUAGAGGAAUGCAUAGAGCUAACUCCUUAUCUCCUGGGCUUCUGGAAAGGUUGAUGCGUUAGUCCGUUGUCUUUCCUUCGGCUUUAGAGGGAUGAGUAGUUCGUUUCCUGGAAAAGUACCAACCAAUUUUUGAAUUUAGCAUUGUGCGCUUUAUCAAUUGGUCUUUCCCCCUCAUACUUCGAGGGUCUUCCCCUCGAGCUGAGCUAUUGAGAAUAAAUAAGUUGAUUCAAUCCUUUUGGAUUGAUCCACUUAACCACUGGUUUUUGGUUCCAGUGGCAACUAAAUAGUUUCCCAUACCAUUUGUGUUUUACCACCCGGUAUGGAGCCAUCUUACGUUUCGCCAGCUGCUCUUUGCCUAAGUGCGUGGGACCCAUUCAUAAGGUUUGUUGGACCCGGCUAAGCACCCUCCCGGUAGGGCUAGAGCGACAGCAAAGAAAUGGUCUUCUUAGGUUUGGCAAUUUUACUACCUCCUGUCGAAGAUCCGUCCAUCUACUUAUUGCCUCCGACCGCCUUCUUGUCGCCCCCUUUUUCUCUCCCCUCUUAGUGAACCCACUUUAUACGAUAUUUAUGACACAGAAUGUUGUUCUUUCAACAUGAUUCCUCAACAAUUUUGUCAUUCUAACUGACUCUCCGUUCUCUCCAUUCCAAUGCAUCCUUACGAAUACAAGAGUGGUUUUUUUGUUUUGGGUAUAGCAGGACUUGAACCUGCAACCAUUAGGUUAAAAGCCCAAUGCUCUACCAACUGAUCUAUACACCCGAUUUUACAAGAAGGCUGGGUGCGAAAAAGAAAAGAGGGCGGUCUGGCACCUUUUCUUCUUAUCAUAUCACAAGGGCGCGGCUCUGUAUGGUAUAGUACUGUGGAGCAAGUUUGGGAGUCCUUUCCACUCAUUGAGGAUUCUAUCUAAAAAAGAAGGUCAAUGGGGGAGACUACUUUGAAGUCCGGGCUGAACAAACUACUUCUCCUGCUACCAAAAUAGAGAAAUAAGGAAAUAAGAUGGAUUCGUCUAAUAAAAUACCCAAUGCCUGUAGUUGAAGAAUUGUUGGAUGAGUUAUCUUGUGCUGUUUGGUUUACUAAGCUGGAUCUGUGGGCUGGUUACCAUCAGAUAAGAUUACAUGAAGUAGACGAAUACAAAACGACAUUCAACACCCACGUCACUAUGAAUUUUAGGCCAUUUGGGCUCACAAAUGCACCACCCACCCUCCAGAGUGCUAUGAACACAAUUCUGGCUGAGCUGACUAGGGUUUGUGUACUUGUUUUUGUUGAUGACAUCUUAAUCUACAGCAAAUCCUUGCAAGAUCAUGUCACCCAUUUGCAGCAAGUAUUUGACCUUUUGAAGCAGAAUCAACUAUAUAUGAAGUUGAAUAAAUGUUCAUUUGCUCAACCACAGAUAGAAUACCUGGGUCAUGUCAUUAGUGGGAAAGGGGUGGCUACAGACUAAAAGAAGAUCCUCACAGUGAAAGAGUGGCCUACUUCCAAGUCAAGCACAUUAGAGUUUGGGCUUAGCAGGACAGGCGUUUCAUUCACAGGAGCUUAGCUCAUUUGACUGCUCAAAGACUUAAAACACCAAUGCAACACAAAGCUUUCCUUUCCUCAAGCUCAUGGGAUUACAAUAGAAUUACCAUCUAAAAUCUUCCACUGGAAGUUCUCUUUAAUAGAAUGACUGGCUUUACAUAUCUCCUUAUUAAUAGGAAAUGAAUCGGCAGCAACAUAGAACCCAUCCCAAGAACCCUCAAACCUCCCUGGAGAACACGGCUCCACAACGUAUUUGGUAGCGGAUCCAGUUUUCCUUAUUUGUUAACAUAUACCUUUCCUCUGCCUAUGAGCUAUCUAAAGGUCCAUCGUUAUCCUUUCCGGCAAUGGAGGCAGAAUCAAUGGUCAUGUCAGGUUUCAGAUUCAAAGAGAGAUGUCAAGCAAGCGCCGAAUCUGAGUACUCAACUUGCCCGACCCGCCUCUUCCACUAGACCUUGUCUUUCAAAGAGCAGCAGCCCUGCAAGCCUAAUAGAACCUUGUUUACCUAUUACUUACUUUUGCUUUGAGCGUCGCACUCCAGUGGCUUUCUUUCCUAUGGCUUGGAUGGGGGUCCUCAACAAGAUCUAUAUUAGUGUCAUUAUUUACUUAUUUAGACGAUAGAUGAUGAUAGAGAGCAGACUGGCUCUGAGGAAGAAUAUCUUAAGUAGUUGAAUCCGCUCCGCUAGGUUAAAUUGUAUGAUCUGAAUGUAGGAGGACUGCUGCUGGUGACACAAUUUCUUUUGGGUUUGAAGAAUGAACUCAGAGCUACAGUGGAAGUGCAGAUGCCUAACUCAAUUAGUGAAGCUGCAUCUUUUGCUCAAUCAAGUGCGGGAAGGAGUUUUGGAGAGAGGCAGGCACUACAUGAACAAGAAGGACAGUAACUAGAAUCAGAAGUCGGCUGCCCCGCAGCAGCAAGGCUAUGUCUCAGUCAAAGUUCGACAGGGGGCAAAACAGUUGCUGUCCUAAUAGAAGUUCAUGUCGAUCCAGCCAAGCCAGUGCCAUCAUUAGAAAGUCCGGCCAUUUUAGUUUCAGCCAGUUCAAGUUAGGGCAAGGAGGAAAGGAAGAGAGUAAUGCAAGGAUGUAAAGAAUGAGGUGCUAGAACAGACUGGCCCGCAGGCUUCCAACCUGACACCGCUUUGCUACUUUUCGAAAGAGGAAGAGAAGUUGCUUGUACGAGACUGCGCCUCCCGGCUGGAAACUCCAAUGGAAUUUUCGGUAAAUGAAAGCAAAGCGAAGCUUUACGACCAAGGAGAGAUAAGCAUAUUUUAUGAACGAUAGAAGGAGUGCUCCCCGAGCACAGGCUCGCUUGGAAGGAUAGAGCGCCGCAAGACAAGAUGGCAUAUUGAAGGGAAGGCUAUGAAAAUAAUUCUAGUCUCUCGAACGCCUGGCAUACUAAUACGAGCCGCAUACUUGAAUACUAGUGACAUAUUGGAGGAAAGGAGAUUAUUGGAAUACUAGAGGGAGUUACGCCCAUAAGAACUGCUGGCUGUAAACGCGACUUGCUCUGCUCCUCCUAAAACCAUUUUCGAUAGUAAGAUAGAUAUAGAUCUAGAGGGCCUAGAAGGGCAAGCAUGGACCGAAUAAUACACAUACUCUGUCUAGAUAGACGAUUUCUUCUUUCAUUUCCACUCAAAUAAAAGCACUUUCUUUCAAGCUUAUUUGCUUGAAAAAGAGCAAAGCAAUUCCAACAUAAACUAACACUUUAGGAUCCUCCAAGCCUUUCUAUAGACCCGUAAGGUACUAAAAACGAAAAACUAGCACUACUAACACAGGCUGAAGAGGAUGACCUCGAAAAAGAAUACAAUUAAAGAUGUGGCCUUCCCUUCAAGCACAUAUAUGGAUAUGGAGCACUCUUUUCCACCCUAAAAAAGAAUAGCCAGAGAUGGCUUUCUUUCCGUAUCAAUAGGUAGCCUUCCUUGCCUAUGGCUACUUUCAAAUGAAAAGGUCAAAAAAGAACUUGAUGUAAUAGGAUCACUUCAUUAAUGCUUUCAAACUCGAUUGUAAACUAUUCCCACCUAAAAGAUAAGCUUACUACUUCAAAUAGGUAGAUGGAAAGAAAGCCAUAUUUUCCACCUUAUUUACAUAUUCCAUUCCAGCCAUGGACAGCAACUCACUCUUUUCGAACUGCACUUUGAAAGCCAAACCCAAGAAAGACCAUAUCAACUACUCUCCAAAUAGCAGGAUAAAUCACAGAAUUCAAAUGAAAGACAGAAAGAGAAGGCAAUUCAAACCUAAUGGCCAAAUGAAUCCAAGACAGAAAUACUUAUAGCCAGAAAAGAAUAACAAGAGAACGAAAACAACUCCAUAUUCUACUGGCCUUCCUCUCUGAUCUACUAUCCAACUGUCAUGGAAGCACCACUGUUCACCCUAGGCUCACAUUUUGGCACUUCAUUCACUGUGUACUCAAAGGACUUGCUUGUCUUUUAACUCGGGCAAAAACUGCAGGAGUGAAUUGACUCGUAAUUAUACAAACAAAUGACCCAGCUGGCCUUCUCCUAUCCGCGGAAUCAUCGGGACAUGCUUCACUUAAAGUGAUUAUACCACAUAGUUUAGGGAAGCGAAGCCAUAGUUCGGGUUAGUUCACGCUAGAUUAUCGAAGCUUGUAACACCUGUUAGAACACAUUAGGAAAGCGCAAAAGAUUUCUAUUUGGAGUUCUUUCAUUUAGUUGCUCGAUCACUGCCAUCCGCAUUGGGCUAAUUCAAAUCCUAUGCUCCAUGCUCUUGCGGGUUUGCUCCAUUUGAACUUGUCCACACUGGCAUAAACAGUAUCUCCCCGGAACUAAGAGGCAUGUAUGCCCAUCUUUAUCGAUUCAAAGAAAUGAAUAAGUAUCAGCGAGGCAGGGAAUACGGGCCCGGUAGAGAUAGGGAUGAUCGGCAAGCGCUACGAGCGGGGCCGAUGUUUCGUGUUGUGGGUGGCCAUCGGAUUGUUCAGCGUGCCCAUGCGGAUCCCUACCAAUGUCCUAGACUACAAGUUCAACAAACUUCCGGCUUGGGUCAGGAUACAAAGUUACCCAGGAUGGGCUUGCCCUCUGGAUCACGCCGGGUCCUUGCUUGUUCCAAUGUCAUGCUAGGAAUGUAUCACGUGCCCAUGCAAACCAAAGGAAAGCAGAUACAACUAUUACAGAUCCUAGUCCUAUUUCCCAUCAGAACAUAAGGGAGUGGGCUUCCUUUGUAACAGCUCUGUUCUGGUCGUGGCUCACCUCACUGGACCAACGCUUCUGGUCGGAAGUUGGUCGAUCGCCUAGUCGGCAACCGGCACAACACGUUUGCCAGUGGGAUUUCUGUUGGUUUUCGUACUAUGCGCAAUGAAAGUUUCCAAAAAAAGGAGAUCUCUAAGAACAGCGUUCUACGGGGAGAAUGUGAUUUUUGUAUACUUUGACCCCAUACUGGCAUGAAACUGAUCGGAAAAAGGACCUCAAAUUAGGGCAUUAAAUAAUCUCUCUCUUCCAUCCCUGGGGUUUAUAGGAAUAUUCAGGCUGCACAUGACGAGUUAGGAACUGUAUAUUAUAGUCCAACAAAUUACUUUCUCCGUACUGAUAAUAAAGUUUACUAAAUCAAAUGUAAUAUCUUUUUAUCUAGAGGAGUUAAAUCGUAUAAAAAUCAAUUAUAAAUAAUCUUUUUACUGUAAUAUUAUUUCAAAGUAGGGGAGACAUCUGAACAUAUUUUAUAUAAGUGUAUUGUCAGCUCUGGUUUUUAUUGAGUCUUGGUCUAGAGGUUUAUGUGCUUUCUAAGGUUCUGGAUACAACAUAUUGAUGCAUAUCCAAUUGAAACAAUCAGUACUAAAAUAUGAUAUGCUUCCAUCAGUGCCUCAAAACAUUUGCUAUUCUUAUCUCUAGAAGGGUGCUUAUAUUGUUGUAGUGUUUAUAGCGAAAGAGGACAAAAGUCCAGCCGGACACAGUAUAACUCUGGUAUCGCGUCGCGGGUGAAAAGGGCCUGAAUAUUUCCUACCAGCAAGCACCGCCACUAACUCACACGUCAUUCUUGCAUCUCGCUGACACUGGGCCCGAGAAACGGCAGAAAGCCAAAGGUGUGAACCUUGUAAUCUUUUCUAUACAGAAAAACAGACCCUCUUCGAAGCUGAACGUUGUGGGGCACUGCUGUCAGCAGAACAUUUCCUAGUGUGUAAGCGAAUUUUAAUGUGAUAAAAAGGCAGCGAAGUGUUCCAGCGGCCAGCCAUGACGUUCGCCCCACCGUCCAGACAGAUAAACCCCUCACCAAGCAGCGGAGCUCAGCAUUUCCACCACACCGACGCCUCCGGUAUCCCCCGCGGUUCCCUUUCCCGAGAAGCAGCUGAUCUUGGCCGUUAGAUCGACGUAUAAAUAGCCACGGGCACGCAAGGCCGGACCUCUAUUUCUUCACCUGCCUCCCCUCCCACCUGGGCAUGGCGACCUUCUCCAUGGAGGUGUUCGACAACGAGGUCGUCCCGUCCAUGCUCAGCAGCAUCGCGCCCAUCCUGCGCGUCGCCGCCGAGAUCGAGCCCGAGCGCCCCCGAGUCGCUUACCUCUGUACGUGCAUUCGUUUUCGCGGGGAUACGUAUGGUGCAUUUCACAUGCUGUUUUGAUGCGUUUGGGUUUGGAUUUUGUGGCAGAGCGAGCACUCCUGGUUCAUUUUUUUGGCGUCGGAUCAAUGCCGCGUAGGCUAUGUGUAGUUGGAAAAUUUUUGUGUUCCCAUGUUCAAAAAUGUUUGUUCUUAUAUUUUUUUGGGGGGCACAUGCGCGCCUCGAUUCGUGGUUUUCGAGGAUGUUUUGCUUUUGAUUCAUAAUCAUACGAGUCUAUCUAGAAAAACAGAUAGUGUGAUUUACUAGAGAACUUUUCUGGCUUUGCCAUUUUUCCUAGCUUUGGAGAGCUAAUUUUGGAGUAUGUUCGUAAGCGUCCGCAUUAGAUUUUUCUUUCGGCGAUCAUCCAUACGUAUUACUUGUUCAUUUCGGAGCACCUUUGUGUUUCACACUUGAGGGAGCAGAUUAGAUGUACUAGAUAGUGGUAUUUCCGAUACUUUCUUCGUUUUGUUGAAAUCAUGUUGCAAUCAGAUAGUUAUGGUCAAUUGGUUUGGCUAGAAUAGUUUCACGUAUCUCGAAUAGGGACUCGGGUAAUUGGUUUCUAGUUCCUACUACAUCCUGCAAAGUAAAUGGAAGUUUCUAGCGUUUUGCUCGCUUUAUUUUUCUUUUUUUUGCUGCAAACAUAGGUCGGUUUUACGCAUUCGAGAAGGUGCACCGGCUAGAUCAGAAUUCUAUUGGUCGCGGAGUCAGGCAGUUUAAGACUGCUCUGCUCCAACGACUUGAGAAGGUGAGACACAACUUAUUUCGUCUUCCUGAUGAUUAGGACAAAAUUGUAUCCCUUAGGAACCGUACAUGCACCUUUGUUUGGAUGCCGAUCUAAUAUUGUUACAAUACGAAAUACUUGAAGGCCACACGCAAUUGACUCACCUACAUUUUAUGCUCCCACCCUUUUGUAGAAAAAGCCUCUGCCUCUGGGGAAGUGCUCACAUCAACUCCAAUUUGGAUGGAGCUUCUCGAUGGGUUAGAGCGUUUGCGAACCAAAAAGGCGGAAAACCCAUCCUCCAAAGUAGUGAAGUGAGCCAGUACAAUAAGACAAUAUGUCUCAUGGGCCAAGCCUGCUAUCAGGCAGUGAGUGGGAAUCAAUCCUGAAAGAGAGAAGGUCUAGUGCUCUUAGAAAAUAUUUAAUUCGCCAAAAACUUGGCUUUAUCAGACCAAUCCAUGUUCAGAAGCCUUCCAUCAAAAGUCAGUGGUCUAGGCCGCUUUCCUUGACUUUGAGUUGGAUCUCAUUCUUCUUCCCGGCACAAAAAGAGGGUAGACUUCAUCCGAGACACAUGGGUUCUUUUGCUUCCUUCAAAGAACUCGUCUUUGAGCCUCUAAAAAGAAGGGCAUAGUAUCCCAACCACCUAGACCACCUAAAAGGAAGGAAUUGGUCUUUAGCUUUGAGUGAUCCAACCAUUGGUGAAUGGGUUCAGUAAGGUAGAAGGAAAGGGCCCCUCCCGACCUGGGAAAUUCACAGCAGGAAAGACUGGCGCCGAUCAGCGAAAGAGAACCCUUCAGUACAUCGUGUUCAGCCCUCCCUCAAAAUCCCAUUUGUUUUAUUGAGGAAUCACUCUUGAUCCUCUAAAGGAUCUUCUCUGUCUAUAACUCAAAGUCCAUAUGUCUCUCAUGGAAGCGCUUUAGAGUGCCUAGACGAUCCAGCAAACGGGGGUGCCAAUGUUGUCCCAAGAACAGAUCACGGUAGGUAGCUGCUUUAAAGAGGUUGGGAGACAGACUGGUGAACAAUCUUCUUCUUGUUUUCUCCGACCUAGAGCAUUCCUUUUUUCAAUCGUACGAAGAAACUCGGUGAAAAACCCAGCUAUCACUCCUAUGAGACUGCUAACUCCCAACUCCCGAUACAUUCUUUAGAUUCGACCAAAGGACUCGUUGGUUUGGACAUAGUUUCUUUGUUCCUGUGUUUCUGUUUUGCUCUCCCCCUUUUUUCACUUAGUUUAUUUGGAAUGGAAAGACAACUUCCUUCAGUUUUUAUUUUUUUGUUGUUGCCUGGUUCGGUCUCUCCGAGUGGAAUAAGUGGGUCCUUCUUCUUUUUCCUGACUGAUGAAGGUCGAAACUGAAGAUCGAAUCAAGCAGAGUCUGGAUUCCUAUGUUCGUACCAACUCAAAUGAUUGAUGAAUUGGAUCUUGAGUAUGCUCACUUCGCUACUCAGCAAGGGUGAAAGAAUGACAAAGAGACUGACAUCACAGAAGAAGGGAAGGACCCAAUCGCCUACCUAUUUCUUGGUCCUCCCCCCUGGUGGGUACUUUAUAGCUCACAACACGAGAUAGGCAGAUAUGUGACAUAGAAAAAUUGCUUUCAUUGACAACAAGACUCUCUUCCUGAUUGGGAUUGGUCUGUGUAGGAUCUCCUUCCCUAUGAGACUCUUGCUUUCCUUUGAAAGAGGCAGACCCCUACUUCAAUUGCCAUCUGACGCCUCUACCCGCCCUUGGUGUUCGUAGAUCGGUUUUGCCAGUUAGGGUUUGUGUGGUGGGUUUCGGUUAUCUCGGGUAGCUCCUCACUUGGAUGAGGAGUGGGGAAAUAAGAUUGCAGGAGAGAUCGAUGAAGAAGUGGAACUAAAGGAUACUAUAACCAAAGCUUAAAAUGGGGGGGAUGAGGCUGAUGUUGAGCCGGGUGAUGAAGCAACUUCACCGCAGCAAGAAGCCUAGUGAGCGGUUGACAUGGCGGAAGGUCGUUCUACCUUUCCAUGUGCCAACAAAGCAGGCAUACUUGAUUGACUCUUUGGGGCUCAUGAGAGACAUUCAUAUUACUGCGUUCUGUGAUCGUAGAUCAUCAGGAUUCAUCAUUGUAUAUCCGAGAUCUGAAAGUGUGGCAAAUGGAUUUGAAGGCAUGGAAAGAGGCCGCCCUCGUGCAAGGCUUCUUUAUUCUCCCGAUUUCCCUCCUCCAGUUGGAUUGACACGAAAGUCUAGUGAUAAUGUCGAAGUGCUUUACAGAGUCCCUUUCAGCCCCCGCUUUAUCAUAGGAAGAAGAAGAGUAAUCUAGUUUAGCGGUAAGUGCCCUUUUGUUGCCAAUAUCUAGAGUCCUGUUGUGUCGAUAGAGCUCGGAAACGUCCUCUUUUAGUGAUGGAUUCUAGUAGCCCUAUGCCUAGAUUGCACAAGAACUACUCCGCUUCUAUAUUGGAAAACACUUUGUUUGAGCUUCUAAAAAGAAAUGAAGCUGUUACCUGAUCCAAGCAGAUAAGAUGCUCACGGUCUGUCCUGAGCACUACAGAGAUAUUUCUUGAUCCACAUGAGAGUCAGCUCCCUACACCUACACCGGAUUAUGUCAAUGAGAGCUUGCCAAUAGAGAUACUUCUGACUUAGAGGCACCAGAGUUGGCCAACUGAAAUUGCAUUGACAGCGAACCCUUGGUAGAUGAUUCAGAGCAAGAUCAUAUUCUUGAUGAUUUUUCCCUUUGUUUGAUCGAGCGAUGCCGAAUCUUUAUAGCGCAUUUCCACCUAUCCAUGCUUUACGACUUGUCGCCAUGAAGCACAUGCCUGCGAAACCUUCUUAUUCUACAGAAUAAAUAAUAAAGUACUUAGAAUGAAUGGACUAAAGAUCCACUUUUCAAAAGGGACGGCUCCGCCUACAUGAGAAGAUCUUUCAAGCGAAAAUAAUGGGUAGCCAUGAGAAAUCUCGAUCGGCGACUCUGAUACCAUGAUAUCAUUGGUCGAAGAAUUCCUUGCCUCGCGGGACACGUAAAGAGACCUACCCACCACCCUUGUGCGUGCGAACCUAACAAGAUAUGUUGAUGCCAGCUACACCGCGCUUUCUUUCCGAUCGACCUGACAUUCAGAGGAGAAGAAGGAAUGGUUGUAUGCAUGCGCCGGACGCCUAUCAAAAAGUAAAAGAAACCAUGGAUGGGGAGAAAGAAAUCCCUACUUACUUGACAGGUUUCCGGGUCUCAGAAACAUAGAAAGGAUUUCACAAAUAGGAUAAAUGUCCAGUGAGGACAUCUCCUUGCUUGCUUUUUCAUUGACUGAUUCUAGUGGCUGGCCCAGUGAGAGAAUUACCAGUGUCUGUCAUUAGACUUUAUCUUUCCACGGUGAACUCCUUUGUUGUUGAAAAUCGGCUGGCUGGAUUGACCUUUGGGAUUGAGUCACUCUUUUCUGCCGAUCAUCCUCAACCUCAAGCACAAAACCACCUGUCGGAAAAAAAAAGAAUCUCAGUCAACACUUAGCAUGUGAUGCAGCCUUUAAGUAUCCAAAGUUCUGGAACUUAGAUGAUGCCCUUAAAUGGUAUAACAAACACCAGACUAAAAUGUUUACUUCGGACGAAAGUUUAAUUGAAUUUGCUGCGCAAGCUAGUGAUCCAUUUUUUUUCAUAGCCAAGAUCCUUUCUCAGGAUGAAGGAGUGAGUAAUUAUCAUCAGGUUCCAGUGACCCAAGAUGCGAGUGCGAGUGCAUGUGAAAUUAUGAGUUAUCUCUUGCUUAACUUAGAAAUGGGUAGGAGAAUGAAUCUUCUUCCAUAUUAAGACGGUCAAAUCCAAGAUGUGUACAUGUGCUUGCGGGAUGAUCUUAAUAAAUUGUUUUUUACCAGAUUGAAUAAUGUUAGUAGUAGUAAUUAGAAGAAAAAACUCAUAGAUUCUAUGUUAACCAGAAAGUUCGUCAAAGGAUUCUUUAUGCCAUCUCCACAAGGGUCCGUCCGGUUCUUCCUCAAAUGGGUUACCUCAAUAUUUAUCAAAGUUUUGGUAUCUAACUUAUCCAGCUACAGUAUAGUAUACUCCUUCCUUGCUCGAUAGAGCUCUUUGAAUCCGCUUCAACUAAAUGCGUAAAAUAGAGUAAUUUCUUCAAAAGCCAGUUUAUUUUGAGAAGGCAGGAGGCCCAUAGUGAGUUACAAUAGUGCCAGUUCUUGUACGGAAGGCCGUAAUUCCGGUAACCUCGACUGCUCUAAGAAUGAUCCGGGCUAGCCGGGCACAUCACAACAAAGUUAGGUCAUUUGUCAAAAACAUGGCAAAUAGCUCAGUUGGUUUGGUAAGGGAGCUAUUCUCUCACUUAAACCACUCCCAUAUUAGGUAUUCUAUCUCGUCUUAAAGUUCCCCCGCAUUACCCAUAACUUACCACCUGUAUCUCCGGAACUCAAAUCGCAAAAUGACAAUGCUUUUGAUAGUCUGUAGGAUAUUUUGCACUUUCAUAUUCUAGUUCCUCAUUUGAGCGUUCUUUUGCUCUGUUGGUGGGGCAUAAACUCAGAAAUAGUUUUUGUUUUUUCUUUAAAUAAUAGAAGUACUUUGUGUAGAAACCAUUUUGAUCAUCCCCGCUGUUUGACUUAUCAGGAGGCCCGAACAAAAGGCUCUUUAAGGAACUAGUCCCAUCACUCUCAGGCCCGACACCAACCAAGAGGAGGCGGGGCUCUCUCCAAUCAUUCCGAAGAGCCAAGAUCUCGUAAAGUAAAAAUUAGCUAGCUCAGCAGGUUUGGACCCGGGUGAAUCAGUUCAGUGAAGGAAGGGAGCCUAAACUUAAGGCUUUUCCAAGCCUUGCCGAUAGGCGCCUCAUGGCUUGCUCAAUUCGCUCGCGGAGUUCUUAGAUCAGCAGAUCUGGAUAGAGUCUCGCUAUUAAAGGAAGAGUAGCGUGCUAGCGCGGCUCGCUUCGCUUUUUGACGCGAAUGGCUCGUGUUGCGCUAGUGACACGAGGGUAAAACGCUCGAGUUGGCUUGCUGACUCGAGGAGGGAAAGGCUCCAUUUGCUUUAGUGAAUCAAGGAAGAAACAACCAUAGUAACUAUCUAUGAAAUUGAUUGAUGGAUAUGAGAGUGGUGCAAGACACGAAGGUAAGCACAUUCUAUUUUUCUUAAUUGACAAAGCAAAGGGAGUUAUCAACCCUUUUUUCCGAAACCCUAUAACGGCUAGUUCCCAAUGCUCGGCUUCCUACCUCCUCUAACAAAAUCAAAGGUAAUAUCCUCUGUUUUCCAAGAAGAUAAGUUCUACACAAAGGAUGUGAACGGAACAGUUUUGGCAAAGGCAAAGCCCGGGAUAAAGGCGGUAUCCUAUGAAGAACAUCUUCGACAUCUCAGAAUCAUAUUCGACCACCUAAGGCAACAUGCACUCAAGUUAAACCCAUUGAAGUGCGCCUUCAUGGUUUCGUCAGGCAAAUUCCUAGGGUUUGUCAUUCGACAGUCCCAUCGACGAAGACUACUUACUAUACGCGUUUUUGAGUUGCAUUUAGUGCUCUUUUUUCUCGCUAGCUAAAUCAAUCAAUUUGACAAGAUCUUGCAUCAAUCACCUUGUCCGCUAGGGAAAUGCACUCCUGAAUAGACUCGAUUCCCCGCCCCGCAUCAGUGAAAUGUCUAAGACGCAAGGUCGGCUCAAGAAAUGGAAGUUGUGAGAUGGAAAGAAAACCACGAAAAAAGAACUGAAUUAGGGAUCAAUCCAUACGCGGCUUGCCUUCUCCCCUUCCCCAUAGUAAGCCAGCCAAUAGAAUAGUACCCUAACUUAAGAAGUUCUCUUAGCUAGCGCAUGUCCAUUAAUGUGACCACCGCAUGCUCCUGCAUGAGUUUCAUGAAUGGUUUGUUUUUGAAUCCUAUCUCUCUGGGGAAAGGUAUCUUUUUUCAAUUCGAACAACAGAUGCAGCUUCAAGAGAGCUUUAUUCGGCCUUUGUAUGACCGUAUUCCCUUCCUGUCUAUCUCCUUCGGUCAGGUAGUUCUGCUUCCGAUGCCGGAGGAGCAGGGUGGGAUAGAAGGGUAGUUUCUGAGUUUGAGAUGUCUGAGCUUGGAGGUUCCGCUUCUCUAAUGUGAUAAUAAAGCAACAAGCAACGCCGCUCCCGUGCGCUCAUCCCUUGCUUGUUUCCUUUCCUGUUGUAAAGUCUGCACCCUUAGAGGUGGCAUCCCUUUACGCAUGAGCCUUGUUAGUGCAUGUCUCAGUCCCUUGAGACAUGCUCAGUCCUAUGUUAGGAAACCAAACGGUGUAAUUAGCUUCCCCCUCUAUUCCCGGCCAUCGUAUGGACGAGGGCUCCUCUCCCUCUGCUCUGCUUCCCGGAAAGGUAUAUAUAUACUUAAAUUAGGAAUUGAAAAUGCUUGGGCUUGCCUUAUUCUCUCAUUUAAGUCCUUCAAUUCCCUUAUCUGGAAUGGACAGGGAUGUUGUUGAAGGGAAGGAACGGAGGUAGAUCGUUCCUCAGAACGUAGGAGAACAUGACCCACGAAUCAGCUCUAGUCCGGAAAGCCAGGGCUCUGAGCUCUUAUCCCUUCAUGGGUAAGAGCGAAAGCAAUAGCCACCAAUCUGGCGAAGAGGUUUCGCCGCGCUGAGCUCGGUGAACCGGAUUCUCCCGACCCCGAUGCGCCUUUGGAAGAGUAGGAGGCUCAUUCCACGGGAUCCCCUGAAAGCACAAAAGCAAAUGAUGGGGCGAACGAGGCAGGCCCGUCUUCUUCGCGGAAGCGUAAAAGGUGGGAUGAUGAUUCGGGGUCCGAAGAUGAUGAUUCGGGGGGCCCCUAGGAAUCUCCAGAUCUAGUGGAAAUCGUUUACGAAGGGGAUGCACAAGGGUACAACUAGGAGGGGACCUGCGACCGCCUUCUUGUCGCCUGCCUUUUUCUCUCCCCUCUUAGUGAACCCACUUUCUUUAGUAAAGCGGUUUUGCAUCCGUUCACUUCUUGACUUUCCAUGGGUUUCUUAGAGAGCAGGUGGUUCUCGGUUCCCCACAUUUUUCUACCCCUUCUGUUCUGAGACGUGACUUUUCGUCGUCCCUCCUUUAAAUAAGAUCCCUCACUUAUAGCUCGACGGGACCGCAUGUGGACGGGGCAUUCAAAUUCUUUUUAUAGUGGGAUCGUAACAUCCUCUUAGUUUUGUCGACAUUGGACAAACACGUGUUCCUCAACCCUAGGUAGGGCAUGACUAGGACAUACCUAGCCACUCGAGCCAGACUAUUGUCUACCUAAAUAGCUUUUCGUUUGCCAUUAACUGAUCACCAAUGUUGCAUAACAGUCACUCAAAUACAGGGUUAGAGGAGCACCGUACUUUCUUAUCUUGUGACCUUAAAUUGGUUAGGUGAUCAAUCUUUGGAUUCAGGGUUCAGUAGCACCUCGAGCCGAAUCUAUAUCGGUCGUUACAGGUAAUCGUUUGCAGCCUUAGGGCUUUUGGUACUUGGAACAGUUUAUCCUAGUCCCCUCUAGGCCAAGUAGUAUUGCACCCUUUGCAGCCGCUCCAAAUUACGCUUAUCAGAUCCCAGUAUCGUGCUAGGAUAGGAAGAUCGCCUCUUCCUAUGCAUUGUUGGUUCUUGAUUGUUCUGGAGUGCGAACAGCUUUGUGGGUGAUGGCUAACUUCUGAAACAUGCCUUCAAUCAAGACCAACCUAUCUUGAAGUAGCGGUUUCCUCAAAUGUGGGUUGCCAAGAUUCCCAGCGGGUGGUCUCGAUCGCUGCUAUAUGCAAUUUCUGGGUCCUGUGUUUUUGCUGACCUGACCUCUUUUCAGCGAGUGGGUAUGUGAAACAUGCAUGCACUUUUUCCUAAAUCUGACUGUAUCAAUAAGUUCAGUCCCAUAAAUCAAUAGAGUUUCCGACCUUUGGGAGGAAUUCCCCUUAAUAGUUAAUAGCUAGUUGGCUAGUUGGAAUGGCAGUACGUAACAUUCAGUGAUGAGUAGUUCAUAAUGCUGGUCUUAUUCCACCUCUGGAAUAGUGUUGAAAUCACACGCCACUAAGCUGUUUUUUAAACCAAGUGGUUUAUCUUAGUGUGCUAGCCACUGCUUCAUUUCAUAUAGCGAUAACGCUUUCUCUUUCUUAGCGCUCCACCCUGCGGAGAACUCUGGUUGCGCUUUGGUUGGCUUUCUCUUUUUUUCAAUUUUCUCUGACUUGACUCAGCUUGACCUACUUGACUCAGCAGUUAGAGUAUCGCUUUCAUACAGCGAGAGUCAUUGGUUCAAAUCCAAUAGUAGGUAAAGCCGGCCGAAACCCCCGCUUUUGCGAGCAUGACAGCAAGCACAGACUGGCAUCAAGGAGUAGAAUGACCAAAGCAUUGGUUGCUUCCACUUGUUUGUUGCCUUCUUCGACCGACAGACAAGGUACCCCCCUCUUUUUCUCUUGCGAACCUACGUUGAGCUUGGGACAACCUGCGACUGGCAUAGGAUAUUUCAAAAGCGCCAGGAUCCAUCCUUCUUAUGAACCAAGAGCACUAGAGAAGCGAAGGGGCUCGUGUUGCAACGAAUAAUGCCAUUGCUCAUCAUCUCACAGAUUUGCUUCUCAAUCUCUGUUUUCUGGUGGGGUGCAUAUCUAUAUGGCCGGACAUUGACUGGCACUGCACCUGGCACCAACGGAAUUUGGUGGUCAUAGGCACGACGAGGGGGUAAUUCCUUUGGCUCCCGGAACAAAGCAUCAAACUCCUGUAGCAGUUCUUGAACAGCUGGAGGUGUCUGCUCUGCAGGAUCAGCAUCUAGAGUAAUUGCUUGUAGAUCAUGCUCCUGGUGAAUCUGACGCACUUGCACAAACUGGCUAACAGCACCCUGUUUCAGCAAUCCUUGCAGCUUACGGACAGAGAUUGGAUGGCAGGAAGGAUUAUCUUGAAUGCCAUUGAGAGUGAUGUGGCGCCCUUUGUGCGUGAAUUUCAUACGAGGAUGACGCCAAUGUACCCACAUCGGGCUAUGGUCUUCGAACCGCUCUUGCCCUCCCCUUUCACUUCCAUAGUGGUCUUCUUUGGCCGGCCCACUCAUUUCACUCUCAAGCUCUCUAAGAAGAGAGAAUCUGAUUCAAGAUGUUUCGAAUUCAGCCUUUCCUUCAUGUUCGUGCUUUAUGUCAGUUCGUACUUUUCAGUAUCUAAGAGAAUGACUGAACUCGCGUUGAAAGCUACUAAACCACGGCUGACAGAGACGCAUAAGAGGGAGAGCGGUAGCAAAAAUGAGAUCUUUCGUCUAGACAGAAGAGAGAUCCUUUCCUUCCUUUCUAUAGGAAAUGACUGAUGUUGCUAAGUCACCUUCCGCUGCUCUUGCAUCAUCCCUUUUCCAAUUCUUUUUGUAUGGCUCGGUUGCAUCCGAUUGAUCGAUCCCUAGUCACUGAUUACAUGCAUGAGUUCUUUGAUUCACUACUGACUUCUUCUGUGGAGUCGAGUUCGCCGACUGAGACUACUUGAAAAGCAUUUUCGACCAACCGAUCUCACGACGAUGAGUCACCCACAUACUUAACAAAAAAUGCAAAUAGAAGAGCAAGUAAAUCAAUCUCAAUUACAACUCACUCUGAUCAAAUAGCACUCAGGUAUAGGAUUUCCAGCGGAAAGGUAGCCUUGCUCGCUUCUUUACCCUUGUACGCACAAAUCUAGCUCAUAGGAGCACUUUCGAGUUCGGUUACUUAAGUACAGAGAUUGGAACAACUUAGCACGGGAAGUCCCAUAUCUUGUCUUAGCCUCGCCUCACCUAUUUCCUCAUAAUGAGAUAAGAAUGAAAUAGAAUGGAAUCUCAAGUCUUAGCUAGAUCAGGGCUACCACGUUCCCUCAGACGAAAAAGAAAAGAAUACUAGACCUGUUGGACUCGCAAAGUAGGAUCAAGCUUUUUCUACUAGAAACAGAGGAGAGCGAAAACUAAGUCAAAGGGGGAGAGCUGUUUAUGAGCAUUUUAAGGCUGGUUGACAACAUCCAAUGCCUCCCAUGAGGGUGCCUGCAACUCCAAUUUUUCUAGGCAGAGGUAGGUAUAUAUAUAUUUAAUACAUUUUAGUUUGUAGGAAGAUUCCCCGCUCAAAAACAAAGAUAUUUUGAAAAAAUUACAUUUUAGAACCAGAAGUAGCCGGAAUGUAGAUAGGUUAUUAUAUCAAGUGAUUGACAUUUAAUAUAAUUUAGUAGAAACUGACAAUUAGUAAGUGAUUGACAUUAGAAAAGUAUUCUGGACAUCUUUCUAGGCAGAAGUAGUUUAGGCUUUGUUUAUAAUUUAUAAUAUGUCUUAAUUAUAAAGUAUGAUAUCUGGGCAGUCAUAAGGGCGGGGAAUGAUAGUUAUAGUACUUUUACGGUGUGGAUGACUUCUCGGUACUCGACUUAUUUUAGUUAUAGCCUUAUAUAUUAACCAAAAAGGAUAAUGCAUUUGGAUUGUCCAGAUAUUCCCUCAAGUUCGAAGAAGAGUAUUGUAUUGACCUGAAUCAAGUUGUUUGCCUACCCGCUGUUAUGUCUUAGCUAGGAAUGAGUUGUGAACAAAAUAGAAAUAGUUGUUACUUGAGUCGAUAUUGACUUUGUGUCAGUUUGAUAUUUUCUAUAAAUUGGACUGGUACCAUGUAUUGUAACAUAAGCUUUUGUAUAAGAGCUGAGAUGUAGUUAAGAUUACACUGGAUCCUCUCUUUCUUUUGUUGCUUCCUUCCAUUAUCUCCAACAACUGGUAUCAACACUAGGAACCUUCACGGUCAGGGUUGAUUUUCUUAGACCACUAUGAACACUUGUAAUUGGUUCUUUCUACUUCAGGCAUGGUUCUCUCUAGUUAGUGGAAGAGUGUACAACAUAGGGAUUGGUAUCAGUCACACAUUUAGGAAAGAAAGUGAAAGGGGAGGGCAAGAGCGGUUCGAAGGUCAAUGAAAUGAUAAAAAACCACCAGGUCGAGUUUGCUUCUCCCUUCCUUUUGGUGUUUAGGAUGUGAAGUUUAUAUAAGAAGAGAGGAAAGGGGAACUGCUAAAUGGAUAAUUUCAUCCUGGUGAUGGGCUAUUCCAAUGGGCAUGCAUCUGAGAUAUGGGCUUUGAGCGUAGGAACGCCCACCUUUACAAGAGCUCUGUUCUAAGAUUGUUUGCGCGCAUGCACCACUAUUAUUCUGUCUUUUCUUGUUAUGCAUCCGGUCCUAGAAAUAUAUUUUUUCUGACCGGAGGAAGAGAAAUAAAAACGUCACUUCGCUCGCCUUGGGGGACCUAAUUAGGAGUUGAUUGAUUUCUUUAAUAGAUAUGAAGAUGCCUUGAAUGAACCCAAGCAAGCCUAAAUAGAAUACUAUAAGUAUGAAGUGGACAUCUAUGGUUUAAUUGGAAACAUCUCUUUUGUAUUUAGAUUUUGCCAGUGCCUUCCUUUGUGGCAGAGCGAGCGCCUUGACUAAGAUAGAUUGACUCUUUCAUUCUUUUUUUAUUUUAUUCUGGUUCCAAUCGUUUGAGGAAAACCCCCUUUGGCAUCAAUGAAACUCUGUUAUAUAGGAGUUCAAAAACCUCAUUUCGUUUGAGAGAUAGUGGAAUUUCUUCUUUCAACACGUACAUCGACGAGGGUGUCGAUGACUUGAGUGAGGAAUGGUCAUGUGCUAGAGGCCGUACCUUUGGAGUAAGACCUCAACAAGGGGGUUUGCAGUUUAAAUGUAAAUGACGAGCAUGGAGAGGCCAAGGUCAUUUGUAAUUAGGUGUGGCUGAUGCAAGAAGACUGGCGAGCUGUCCAUGGUGAGAAAAGUUGUGAUGCUACUGCAGGGGGCAUCCUGGUGUAGUUGAGGGCGCAGAACUUCUGUGCGGGUACAAUUGGCACUUAAAAGACCUUCCGUAUAGAUGAGUUCUCUUGAGUGAGACUAAUCGAGUUACGAAGAAACCUUUGCGAUGGUGCCAGUUGGGUUCUCUAUGGAGGAACUUUGUUGUGGGGACCAAGGGGUCUUCUUAAGAAGAGUUGCUUUGAUGAAAAGAGUGUAGCCAUGAUGGCAAGUCAAGGUGGGGCCCUGUGAAGGCAAGCCUUGUGUAUGUUGGCGUGAUGACGAGAGAAAGGAAAUGCCCAGGAACAAUAGCUGUCCGUAGCACACCCUGCAAUGACUUCGACCAGUGGACCAGCCUAUCCAAUACCCUACGCCAUUACCUUAGAAGUUCGUACCCCAUGAUAUUCAAUGACACCCAUAGACAUUUGAUCAUUCAUACCUCACAGUACACUUUCUUUCUUUUUUUUGGACUUUGAAUUCCAAGCGAAGGAAGCUCAGUGAAAGAUAGACUGGGAUUUGACAGCAAGAAGAAAGCAAUCAUAGUACACGGCACACACCGCUGACGAAUGAGAUUGACGUCCCAAACCAACACAGGUUCAAGACUAAGUGCAGAACCAAGAAUGUCGUGGAUAGAAAAGUGAGUGCUUCCUCAAGCUUCAUGAAGGAAGGGUCCAAGGACCUAAGCGACAACCUCUACGAAAAAGAAAAACCUAUAUAUAUAGAUAUUGGUAUGUGUUCGCUGACACUAAAUAGACUUGGCUCGGGGCAGAACUGAGUGGCUAGGCUAAGUUCCCUAGUCUUCUAUUGGUCUACCCACCCCUACGACAUGGAGGCGCUUACCCUUCUCCAACAAGCGUUCCACCACGUGGCGAUUGAUUACCGCUUUCCGUCUCAAUCCAUUCCAGACCAAGCCCCUUCUCUGAUCAGGGGAAGGUCAUGCUAAAACAUCAGAUCUCCCAUUGAUGUAGAUCAAAAAUAAGUUUAUCCACCUAGAAUAUAUGAUAGGUACCAAAAGAUUGGAUGUCAUUUCUCCACACCAGGCGGGACGAGCAGCCCUAUACCACGUGUAGCCACACCCUAGUGUCCUUUUCUACUUAGUUGGACAGAUCACUUCAGAAAAUCAUAUAAAAAUCAAGCAAGAAAACGGAUGCGCUAACGCGCAACGGCUUUCACGCUAGUUGCUCAAAAAAUCGUAUAAAAAUCAAGCAAGAAAAAGGUUCCGGCAGGCUGCGUGGGACUGUAAAUCCUCUUUCGGUGGCUGAGCCCUUUGGACUCGAAAUCCAAGCGGAGUGAGUGGUUCGAUUCCACUCUCAGAACGAGACUGAACGAAAUAAAAUGCAAGUGAAACAAGAUGAGAAUCAAAUUGUAGGCUUCUUUCCUAAAAAGCAGUGGUUCUCGCCUCCCCGUGCCCAAAGCGGGGUGGGCGACAUUGUUGCGGUUCUUUUCUUUAUCAAUCGGGUAGAUCCAUAUGUUCUAAGGGGGGGACGAGGUGUAGCGCAGUCUGGUCAGCGCAUCUGUUUUGGGUACAGAUGGCCAUAGGUUCGAACCUGUCACCUUGAUGUGGUAUUCACACAAUGGGGCUGAAGUGCAAAGCCCUGCAGCCUCUCCGUGGUCAGGAAGGCAGGGGUAUUAAAAGUGAAACUUGGCUUGUGUGUGCGUGCACACAAAGGAAACUGAGUUGGAUUGCAAAGCCUCUCAGACGGAAGGAACCUGUUUUAAAAACCCCUUUCUACAAUAUUGAGAAAUCUCACGCAACCAACUACACGCCGCAAGUCUUCGGUAUUGUUCGCAAGGAAUUUGAAAAGAUUGAUUCCGCUUUUUUUCUUUUCAAGCAUGCCAAGCCUCCAGUAGAGCGGAGUUCUGUGCAUGAAGUAGGCGCAGUUUACAAACUAGUGAAUGGUCAAAUGAAUAGGCUCGUUUCAUCAGGGGUAACCAAGGAGUAAGAAUGAAUAUUAUCAUUAACAAACUGGAACUGGAAACCGGCUAAUGUUACUUUUCCUUUUCAGCUUCAGAGUUGCAAACCGGCAGACCUUACUUUCUGAAAAAGAGCCUACCUGAGCGUGGAACAAAUAUCUUAUAUAUACAUAUUCCAUAACUAGAGUUCCACAAUUGUGAAACGUGGUAUAUGGUCGUACGCUGACUCCUAUUUGAAAGUCGUGUGGCUCUCUAACAAACAUGGAAAACAAACCUAUCCUCGGCAUCCAACUUUUAUAAAAGAAUGGAAGCACAAUUGUUGUUGGACCUAUAAACCCUAUUAUUUUGGCAAUAAAACCAUUUAGACCUCUUUGAUCUAAAUUGGUAAAUGUUUUUCUAUUUUUCACAAAUCUAUCAAUAGGUGAAUUCAAGUAGGAAGUCCAACCACUGUUGGAACUAUCUCCACCGUUUGAACUACCACCACCCCAUAUAAAAUGGUGGAUUAUACCAUGAUCGUCGUGCUUAGGUGCACUAGUUUUCACAUUUGGAUUUGUUCCAUCAUUAGUGGAACUAGAACCAUCAUUAGGGUUAGGGGAAGUAGAAGUAGAUGCAUCAUUACUGCCACUAGAUGCAUCAUUGUUGAUAGGUUCUUUAGCUCCUUCCUCAUUCGUUAUAUCUUUUUUCUUGGAUUUCUUAUUAUUGUGGAGUUUUUUAUCAUCAUCUUUUUCCCCGUCUCUAUUGUAUAACGAAUUAAGUAUCUUCUUAAUGGACUGAAAGAAUUUCUUCAUGAUAAUAGUAUUUUCUAUUACUCUCUUAUUGGUGGAUUUCCUCCGCUUAAUUUCGAAAUUUACCCAGCCUUUUGAGUACUAGGAUCUCCCCCUUAUCCUAGUAGAUCGGUACCCAGACCAUAUCCUUGGGCAGCUCGGAUGUAUCUAUCUUUUCGUUCAGAUCACAUCAUCUCGAGCGUGGAAUCUUAUUAGUGGAUAAGAAGAGUAUGGUGACCCGUAGAUCUUCAGAUGUUGAUUUGCAGAGCAGGGCCGGAAUGCGGGGAUUGCAUUCUUCGAAAAGUAUCAUAUCUUCUUUCCCUAGGGAGAAAGCUGGGUUGCACUAAGCCCGUCACUUUUUGGGCUUCUUCAUGAAUCUAGUUUUCAGGUAAGGUCAGAUCAUCUUAUGGAAUUGGAUCUUGUAUUGUUAGUUAAUAGAAUCUAAAUGAGAUUGAAUGGAAAUGUUGGUAAACCGAGGGGUGCAUCAUACUUUUCAAUAGAUGUUGGGGUUCCUAAACCAUAAGGAUACUCUUUUCAUAGAACAAGGCCUGCCAAUCGAUCUCCUAGGCUAUAAUCCAAGGGAUAGCUUAACAUGCAUCUCCUAGAUGGAAGUGUGCUACAAUAACUUUGAGCUCCUGUAGUCUUUGAUCCUUGAUCUGAAGAGGUAGGCAGCUAUGAUAAAGAAGCCGACCUGGCGGGUCAUCCUAACAUUGAAAUGAAGCUAUUCGAGCAGACAGUGAAUAAAGCUAUGAAAUGGGGUAGCUUUACGAGGCAUAAUGCCGGUGUGCACUUUUCUUUUCUCAAACUGUAGUUGAUCCUCUCUAAAUCAGAGGUCAACAUUUCUUUGCAAUGAACGUUUGUUAGGUCUGGAAAACCUUGUUAGGUGCACUCGUAGGUGAGCUCAAAGCGAGGAUUCAUGCGCUCUUUCUUCUCAAGAAGACGGAAUGAUUGCUCGGUAUGAUAUAGAUUCUUAGCCAGGGGUAUGGUAGCUUAUGCCCCCUAGUUUGCAACAUAGAGCAGAAAUGGUUGAAAGGGCUCCCAUUGUGUGUGGGAAUUCUUUCAAAUGUGUAUGGCCUGGCGACUGACAGGAUGCCCCUGCGAGUGCUAUUCCAUGUGCUGGAAAACCUCUUUGGCACAUCUUUCGUGAUCUAGUUAACAUCACUUUAGAGACUCAUGUCUUCCAGGGCUUAAACCUGCUUAUUAUACUAGAAACAAUGCGCCAUUCAACAUCCUCCCUCUCGAUGCUGCCAGUGCAUCCCAGUCCAUCAUGCAGCUGGAGGAGGUACGUGUGAUUUAGAACAAUGGAAUCUGUUUCCUCAAAAAGAACAAUGGCACCGUACUGGUUCAAUAAAAGAAGCUGACGCAGUCGAAUUGCAUUCUUAAUAGAUCAAAGUAGCAGCAGACACACCCCUUGCUCCUGCAGUGCAAGACCCUGCCAUUUUGAACCCACCCCUGGUUCAAUCGAUACCGUCAUCCCUAGAUCCAGGGAGAACGCUAGAAGAUCGAGUACGAAAGGGAACAGAGGCUGCAGUCACGGGCGCAGUCAGGGGCUGCUGCUCGUCUUUUGUCGUGUGUCUCUGUUCUACCUGGUGUGGUGGCUUCAGCUUCUAGCAGGGCGCAGACAUAGAAAGGCAUUUUUUUCUUGCUUUCUGAAUAGCGUCCCUUUCACUCCAUGUGAAAGUAGUAAUAAUUCUUUUCUUUAAGAAAGGGAUCAGAUGAUCCAAUCAAUCGUUAGCAUUGGGUUAAGAAAUGUUUCAGACAGAAUAAGGUGCCGGAGUGAAGAAGCUACAAAAGCACCUUUAGAAAAAGGACCGAGAACUACAUUAGGUCUGAUUCCGACACCCUCGAAAAGAUUGAACCAGGGUUAUGUAGGCAUCUAUCCGUUCGGAAGUAGCGGAAGAUCGAUCCCAAAAACGGUAUCUGAAUUCAACACUCUAAUUUGAAUCUUAUGUGCAAGAAGUUCAAUGAGUCCCGAUACGCCGAUUUAGAAAGAACCUCUUCUACUCUAGCAUGGGAUGCUCGCCGACUACAUCAGUACACGCUUUAUCAUAAAUAGGAUGAACACUGACAUUGAUCCGAAGCUCGAGUAUGGUCCGUGCACCGUUUUUCUUCUCUACCAUGACGAAUCAAUUGAUUUUUUGUAGGCAUCCCUCUUUCCUAUGUCCUUCCCCCCUUUGCCCUUUCAAAAGUGGUUACGCCCGAUCUGAAGCACCCCUUUUCCAUUCAUAGAGAGAUCCAAUCGUCAAAAUCAAUAAAAAGGCCAUCAUGGACCAAGAUCCAAACAGAUCAAUCUUGUUCGGAGGUAUUGCCCAAGGAAAUGAAAAGGUGACUUCCGGAUCAGGGAUAAUAAAUAAAAUAGGAACCAGAUAAAAUCGUAUAUCAAAACGACUUCUGGCAUCAACGGAGGGAUCGGAACCACAUUUGUAGGCCGACAAUGUUUCUGGAUAGGUCGAACUAUUGGAAGCAAAUGGAAAAGGAACACCGAGUGGAAUCAAAGAAACUAGCGGACUGAUCACUAAAUAGAUACAAAUAGGUGCAAAUUCCGACAUCACCAAAGCCCACUUCGUUCUCUCGCUCUCCUCGCGGCGCUCCUUGCUCGUGGAGCGGCAUACCGAAAAAAAGGCGCUCAGAUGUGGAUUCGAACCACUGAAGGAUUUCCAGGGCAAUGCCCCUUGCUCUUCCCACUGAAACAAGAAAAAAAGGAUUUACAGUCCAGCAAGAAAAUGGAAGCGGAUGACCGUACCUUACCAACAUACUCAAAAAAGUAUUCUAUACUGGGGUCUGUGCUCUUGACAAGCAGUGUUUCCAGUCUAGCUGUGUCAAAUCGGGUGUGAAGUGUCCUUCUAGGUUCUGGCUGGAAGAGUAGAGGACUGAAAAUCCUCUUUAGUUUCAUGCAUGGGACUCUAAAUCCCAAUUGCGCUAGCUCUGUGGUUCGAUUCCACAACAGAACGAACAAUGAAUGACUAUGGGCGGUCAACCAGGUAAGCCUGUGCCCAGGAAAGAAAGGACUAGGGAGGGAUUGAGAGAAGCUUUCACAGUGGAAAAUGCAAAAAAGCAUAUCGUUCUUAGAAAUUGUGGAAUUUUACUCAGUUAGAGCUAUGGUUUAGCAUCAAUAGGGAAGUUUUGUAAAAGCAACAGGAAGAAUUGCUCAGAUACCCAUGAGCGUAUAUAACUUGGGUUGUGUUAUAAAUGCUCUAGCUAAACCUAUUGAUGGGAGAGGCAAAAUUGUAGCUUCCGAAUCUCGCCUAAUUGAAUCUCCUGCUCCAAGUAGAAUUUUCAGGCGUUCCGUAUACGAACCUCUUCAAACAGGGCUUAUUGCUAUCGAUUCGAUGAUCCCUAUAGGACGCGGUCAGCGAGAGUUCAUUAUUGGGGACAGACAGACUGGCAAAACAGCAGUAGCCAUAGAUACAAUUCUCAAUCAAAAAGGGCAAGGUGUAAUAUGUGUUUAUGUAGCUAUCGGUCAAAGAGCAUCCUCCGUAGCUCAAGUAGUAACUACUUUCCAUGAGGAGGGGGCCAUGGAAUACACUAUUGUAGUAGUUGAAAUGGCGGAUUCACCUGCUACAAUACAAUACCUCGCUCCUUAUACGGGAGCAGCCUUGGCUGAGUAUUUUAUGUACCGCGAACGGCAUACUUUAAUAAUUAUGAUGAUCUCUCCAAACAGGCACAAGCUUAUUGCCAAAUGUCCCUUCUAUUAAGUCCCGGCCGUGAGGCUUAUCCAGGGGAUGUUUUUUAUUUGCAUUCACGCCUUUUAGAAAGAGCCGCGAAAUGCAAUUCUCUUUUAGGCGAAGGAAGUAUGACCGCUUUACCAAUAGUUGAGACUCAAUCUGGAGACGUUUCCGCCUAUAUUCCUACUUUCGAUCUGCUUUCUGUACUAAAAUUCGAGAAAUCAUUUUUUAAUUCAGGUUGAUUCGAGCAGUUCAGCUAGGGCUUACCUUUGACUCCCUUUUACUCCAGCAUCUCAAAUAAUACUAUAAAAUAUGUGCUUGCAAUAAACAGAAGCUAAAGGAAGAAAAGCAAUAAAACUAAUUCACUUGCUUCUUGGGAUCGAUAAAUGGCUUUUUUUCAUUUGGGACUGCCCUCUUCCAAGAGUUCAUCCACGAAAGGAAUGGGAUAUUUUUAUUAAUGGUAAGGCUAUUUAGUUUCCUGUAGUCUAUACAAAAUCGCCAACUCCCACCCAUCCUACCUACAGGUACAGGACUUGAAAAGGGCAAAGGGCUUGAGCUUGGCCUAAUCACAGCAGCUGCUAGCAUUUCAUCGACCAACUUUUCAAUGGCUGCCUUUUGAUCGUGCGAGUAUCUAUACGGCCUGAGAUUAAUCGGCUCAGCUCCCUCCAGAAGAGGUAUUACAUGAUCAUGGGUCUGGUGGUAACUCUUUUGGCUCAUUGAAAAUGUCAGAGUCUCGGGUAAGUAACUUAUUCAUACUGUUAGGUAUUCUGGUUUCUUUGCUGGUGGCAUUCACUGGAAAAGCUUGCAUGAGCAUACAAAUCUCUCCUUGUUGUAACUGCACCCUUCCUCUUUCUACUGACCUCCUUGUCUGAUCCCGAAUUCCCUUUCAAACUACUUUCUUGCCUUCCUUGACCAAUGUUAUGGAUGGUGCACUGGUUGAUAAAAUAAUUGGACCUUCCUUCUUAUAGCAACAAAAUCCAAUCUCCCCCUCAUACGAACCUACCUCCAUGACUUUCAUGUCAAACUGAAACUCCUUCCCUUGCAUUACCCAUAGCAUGCCAUCACAUUUGUGCUCACAAUACAUCUUAGCGCCAUUUGCUAUUGUGAUUUCCAUAGGUUUAUACGGAGUUGAGUUGUAACCAGCCCGCUUCACAAUCUUUGGGGUCUACAAAACAGUGCGUGCUGCCACUAUCAACCAAGGCAAUCACUGGCACUCCGUUUACCUGGUAUCUCUGUCCAUAGUCGUCUCCUAUUUUGGAAGACUGAGACUUGUGACACAGCAGCAAUAUUAGUCAAAUAACAUGUCAUUCAAACGCAGCGCGCCUUGUUAAUUGCUCGUCACGUAAGUGAAUUUACGAAUAGGGAGCCCAGGUGCCCAACAAGUUAAUUAUUUCCUCCUCCAGGAUUGUUGCUUUCCUUCUAUAGCCUCACGUAUGAAAAACGUGUGCCUUAUAGAGGGCUAGGCCACAAAUACAUAGCAUAGAUAACAAGGGUUUUGCCAAAGUAGACGCUCAAGCGAAACAUUCCACUUAUCGAAGAAGGGAUACAGGUAUUUCAAGUUCAAGAAGUAGGCAUUGAUCCAAAAGAAUGUAGUGAAAAUCUAGGCUAGGAGGAAUGCGUCAGAGCCAAGGUCAGGCAAAAGGUUGCUGGAUCUUUAUGUUGGCCGGAAGUUAUUUCUUUUCAAUGAGGUUCAAUGUUCUCUAGAUUGCUUAGAAGUAGCCUGCCUUACUCAAGCCAACUAGGAUCAGAAGGUGUUGAUAGGGCUAGACUUUCUCUCAUGGGCGUGACCAUAUUAAAUAAAGGGUCUUUUCAUCGCUUUGGCCUGGAGCUAAGUAAGUAAGGACUUUGCCAGGUUUGAACUCCAAAGUCAUUUACGCCCAGUAUUUCCUUUGAUUCUUAUAGCCUUCGUGUCAAGGAGCGAUGCGAGCGGUCCAAUUGCACAUCAAUAGCAGCUGCUUUUAUCUCCGCAUUCAGUAAACGAAAUGCUGAACCCAUGUUGGUAAUUCCCUUUGUGCUCUACUGUCUUGAACUAUUUUCUUUAGUUGACAUGGAGGCUUUAGUGCCACGUUCAAGCUAAAAGCUGUGAAAGCAAGUCAAGC
rnacentral:lncRNA from 1 species